rnacentral:lncRNA from 1 species
GGUUGGUCUCUCUUCUUCUUAAUUUAUGUUCAAAUGAAAAUUAAUUUUGUUGAUAAUUGAAAGAGAGAUCAGAUCACAAAUGUUUGUAGUUAGUUAACUAUAUAUAUCUAUUAUUGCAGGAAAUAUGUCCGCACUUGAGCAUUAUUUACCCAGGCAAUGAAGUUCCAAAGUGGUUCAGCUAUACCUCUAACCAUCCCACAACCAUUCAACCUCUACCAGAAUAUAAAUGGGAUGAAGAUGAAAGGAAAGAAGGAUUUAUUAGAGGCAGUGAAAUUCGUUUUGAAAUUCCUCUAAAAUUACAAGUGGGGGAGACGUUAUUUGGAUUGGCUCUAUCUUUUGUUGUUGAACCAUCGACUUAUCAUUCUGAUGUCAAGUGUAUUAUCAUCAACGGAGAAAAAACGUUUGAACCUUGUUUAUGGUUCUAUAAGGACUUAAAGGCAACUCAUGUGAAGCUUGCGUUAGUGGGUUUUGGGGAGCAGGAGCAGCACGGAGAUAUUUGUCAAGUUGUAUUUCGCUUCAAAAAUGGCUCACCCAUUAAAAGUUGCGGCGUGCACUGCCUAUUGCGCAACCAAGACGAACUGCUUCCCUUGUCUCUGAGACCAACGAGCAGUCUUGGUUUUGCAGUUUACUAAUCCUUAAAAAUAAGAGGCUGUUUGAUGACCAUUUCAAUUUGCAAACCAAAAACUCAUUUGUUCUAUUGUCUUGCUUUUGCCUUUCUGUUUUCUUUUUACAUAUCUAAACUACAUAUUAGUAGAACACUUAUUGAGUUAUUGUCAACCAAACUCUUAUAAAAUUACCAGAUUAACCCUCUGCUUAAAUCUGAACAUGAAUAAGAAAUAUAGGCAGAUUUGUAAUUUCAAACAAUCAAAAUUUUACUGUUUUUUUUUUCAAAUCCUCACCUACAUGUGAUUAUAACAAAUCUCUGAUUAAAAAAAAAGAACUCUCUCUCUCUCUCUCUCUCUCUCUCUCUCUCUCUCUCUCUCUCUCUCUCUCUCUCCUUUAAAAACAAAAAUAGAAAAUUUUCAUGCACACUUUGUGGGUGGCCAUAUGCUAGUAUAUGAUUAAAAAAAAUUAGUAACAACUAGCGACUGUAACAAAAAUCUACCAAUCGCAACUUCAAAUCAAAGACUAAUAUCUUCCAUUCUAUCACUUACACUUGCUUCUCUCUUACCUAAGAUCUAAAAAUAUCAUCAAUAAAAAACGGAAAUAUCAUAAUGCUAAUGAAAUCAAUGGAAAGUCGUUUCUACAAGAUAAAAGUCAUGUACAAAUCAACUCAAAGUCGAUAUCAACAGAAAUCUACCAAGCUACGCUGUUUUGUACAUUAUUAUGAAAAAGCAUGAACAACGGUGUAAACACAGAAUAUUCCUGAAACAAAAGAGACAAGAACACGUGCACAAAAUAAUAUUUGUAUUUGAUGAUUUUGGGUUUACAAUCUCUCUCAAAUUUGAUCCUCUGAUUCGAUCUCCGUAAGGUGUUGAAUGUGAGGAUGUGCGAUUGAUCCAAAGGGCAGUUGGGCUUGAUCUAAGGAUGAACGUUCUUCAAGGGCCGUGGGCUUGAUCUUUGAAGGUGGAUUUGAGCGGAUCUUCAAUAAGCCGUUGGGGCUUGAUCUUGAGGAUGAGUGAUUCUUCAAGGGCCGUUGAGGCUUGAUCUUGAAUAACGGUGAUGAACGGAUCUUCAAGGACUUUUGGGCUUGAUCUUGAAGAACGGUUGGAUGUGUGGAUUUGUUGAUGUUGUUGAUCCAAGGGCCGUUGGGGCUUGAUCUUGGAAGAACGAUGAACGAAGAACGAAGAACACUUUCUUCAAGGGCCGUCGGGGCUUGAUCUUGAAUUGGUGGAUUGUUGAUCCAAGGGCCAUCGGGGCUUGAUCUUGGAAAAACGAUGAACGAAGAACGAAGAACGAAGAACACUUUCUUCAAGGGCCGUCGGGGCUUGAUCUUGAAUUGGUGGAUUGUUGAUCCAAGGGUCGUCGGGGCUUGAUCUUGGAAGAACGAUGAACGAAGAACGCUUUCUUGAUUCUUCGGGAACCUGGAUACUUGAGAGCGUCGGAGUUUCAGAGUUUCAGAGCUUCAAGGUUUUGGUGUCAUAUGAAUUGGUGAAAUGAAAUGAAUGAAAUUGGCUUCUAUUUAUAGAAUUUUCCAAGGCCUAAUUUUGAAUAUAAUAUUCCAGAUGAAAUAAGUCAUUUCUGCCAGGUGUUGACACGUGUCCUGUUUGAUGACUUUUCCAACUUAUUUCAAUUUUUUGUUUAGACACAUGCUACGUGUAAAAUUUAUGUAAUACAUGAGCGUUGAAACUUUGAUUUAUCGGUCAACAUUUAUUUACCGAAAUUUCGAUGUCUACAAAUGCCCCCACUUCAAGGCGCAUCGUAUACAUGUGCUUGUCACGUGUAGAAGAUGCGUUUUGAAGUCCCUUACUGUAGAUGUCGAUCCAAGGGCCAUCAAGGCUUAAUCUUAAAUUGGGCUGGAGAUUUCUUCAAGGGUCGUUGAGGCUUAAUCUUGAAUUGGGCUUAAGAUUUCUUCAAGAGUCGUCGAGGCUUGAUCUUGAAGGUUGAAAUUGGACCACAAGGAGCUUCAUGUGGUAGAUGAUCUUUGGCUUUGGUAAUUGAUGAAUUGGCACGUAUUUGUUUUUGCGCUUGUUGACUUUCCACAGCUUUGAUCUUGAACUAGGUUGGAGGAUUUUCUGGAUUCCUCUAAUUGUUGACUUUCCUCAGCUUAUUCUUGAACUUGAUUUGAUUCAAGGGUGGUGGACGCUUGAUCUUGAAUCAGACUUGUUAUUUCCUCAAGGGCCGUCGAGGAUUGAUCUUGAAUUUAGCUGGAAGCUUCUUCAAGGGCUGUUGAAGCUUGAUUCUUGAAGGUUGACUCGAACACAUGGCAAGCAGGUAUGAGGUGAAGGUGACGACUUGUCGCUUUGUUCAAUCUUUCUAAUUCAUACCUGGGCAGUUUGGUCAAUGGUAUGAUCUUCAAGAUUGAUGGGCUCUUCUUCCGGUUGGUGACUUGAUCUUUAAGGAUUUGAUUCAAGAGUGGUGAAUCGGCACGUGCAACCCACAACGCCUAGCGAGUCGACCCAUGAAUUUGAGGGUCAAAACGAGUCCUCCACCCAGAGUGAUUGCAACCCUGAUGAUAUGAGAUACUCUUGCUUUUCGAAGAAGUGGUGGUGAUUUGACAACGUUGCACAGCGAGGCUUUGUUCUUCAGCGAUGGUGUCGUCAAUAUGUUGUUGAAGCUUCUCGAGCUCUUGGAUUCAACUCAGACCCCUUCUUCUCUCUAAUUCUUCAACUCGAACUCCUUCUGCUGAGUUGAUUGUGUACGCCGCAUUUCCUUAUUUGUUCUCCAGGCAGAUGUGGCAGUUUCUUGAGUUCCUCAACUCAGACUCCUUCUGCUGAGUUGAUUGUGCAGGCCGCAUUCUUCUCUGCGUGUUCCUUCUGCACCUUGUCUCCACAUGCUACAAGGUAUCAUUUUCACUUGCCUUAUCUGUUCUCCAGGCAGAUGUGACAACUUCUUUGGAAGUACAGCAGCAGUGGAAGACGAGUACUCGAGAGCAGUGCUAGGUAGGCAAUUAGGGAAGGGUUCCAAGCAGUCGGUUCCUUACCCGAGUUUGAGUGGAUGUGACAACUUCUUUGGAAGUAUUGCUUUCUUUGCAGGUAAGAACAAGUACAAAGGAAAGGAUAUGGAGAACGCAUGAUAUGAGAUACUCUUGCUUUCUACCCUGGUGAUAUGAGAUACUUUUGCUUUGGUGUCAUUUGUUUGCAGAGGUACCCCAAGGAAUAAGGAACACUAAGUGACUCGAGAGGCUUUGUUGGGAAGGCAUUCUCGGAGAUGAAGAAAGGUUCUGUAUGUCUGCCUUACUAUGGAGGGUGAAGGUGGAUAGUUAUAGGAAGUUCUUUAAUACCUGUAGAGGUACUAUUCUUUCACUCGUGUCGGUAACCAUUGCGUGAUUGAUCGGUAUGGCUUCACGUGCUUUGUUCUUUAUCAGAAAUCUUCGACAAAUUGUCCGUAAUUUUCGUCAAGCUGAGUGUGCAUGUGACAGGUGUUGACGAGGCUGAAAAAGACUGGCGCCUCUUCGAUAUCUGGGAUCGGCGCUUCGAAAAAUUGCCCGUGAUUUCCGCAAAGCUGAGUUUGCAUGUGACGAAUGCUGACGCGUCUGGAAAAGCAAGAUGCCUCUCCAAUAGCUUGCCUCUUCGAUUUUUUUUUUAAUUAGCCUCUUCGAAUUCUGAGCUCGCCUCUUCGAUCUCUGAAAUCUCAUCGAGUGCUGAUUUUUAUAGAGGCACGCAGUUCGUUUCAAAACACACUUGAAUUUUCGCUUGUAGAAACUCCCUUUUUGCACUUCUAAAAUCUUGAUUCGUCUCACCUCCUCUCUUUUUUAACACCUUUGAAAAUGUCUGGACCCUCCGACCGUCAUUUUUACUUGAACCUUGGUAAAGAGGCAGUCCCGCCUUCUCCAGACAACAUAUGGCGCCCAUCCUUUAUAUCCCCUACUGGUCCUCUUACCGUCGGGGACUCGGUGAUGAAGAAUGAUAUGACCGCUGCGGUGGUGGCCCGGAACCUUGUCACUCCCAAAGAUAACAAACUGUUUUCCAAACGGUCUGAUGAGUUGGCUGUUAAGGAUUCUCUGGCUCUUAGUGUGCAGUGUGCAGCUUCUGUGUCUAAUAUGGCCCAACGCCUAUUUGCUCGAACCCGUCAAGUUGAAUCAUUGGCGGCUGAAGUGAUGAGUCUCAAAUAGGAGAUUAGAGGGCUCAAGCAUGAGAAUAAACAGUUGCACAGGCUCGCACAUAACUAUGCUACAAACAUGAAGAGGAAGAUUGACCAGAUGCAGGAAUCUGAUCAGAUUUUACUUGAUCAUCAGAGGUUUGUGGGUUUGUUCCAACAGUAUUUGCCUUCGUCUUCUAAGGCUGUACCGCGUAAUGAAACUCCAAAUGAUCAACUUUCGGUGCAUCCUCCUCCUGGGGUUCUGCCUAGUACUGAGGCUCUAAAUAAUCACCCUUUGGUGCCUCCACCUUCUGGAGCUCCGCCGAGUACUGAGAUGCCACCUGAGCAAUGAAGACUCCCUCCUGUUUGUUUGCACUUUUUUUUUGUCUCAUGUAAAAUGUACAUUUAUGUAAAUUUUUAGAGAAAUCAAUAAAUGAGGCUUCUUUCAUUCAAUGUCUAUAUAUAUAUAUAUAUAUAUUUUUUUUUUUUUAGGUGCGCCUGGCACCAUCAUUAUUUUUUUUCUUUUUGCCAAUUUGCAUGUCUUUUUUUUUGCUUUUUGAAAAUGGUGCUCAUGCACCACCACUUUCAUUUCCCCUUUUUCUUUUUCUUUUAAUCAUGCACCCACCCAUUAUUUUUUUAUAUAUUAUUUUUUUUCAUAUGGUGCAAUCCGCACCAUCCCACCUCCCUACUUUCUUUUGCUCCUUCUUUUCAAAAUGGGCUGAUGGUGAUGAUCCUUUAUAAUAAUUUUUUUUUUCAUGGUGUGGUGCACCAUUCCUGAAACCUUUAUAUUUUUUUUUCGGCCAACACCUUCUCUUUCUUUCCUAUAUAUAUCCCCACAUGAUGCUUGGCGGUGCGCGGAAGAUGGAGCAAAGGGAAGAUGCUGGAGUUUGUAGACGGGUGACAUCGUGGUGCAGCAACAGCAAGCUUUUAGGUAUGUUUUAGGCUGAGGACGAUUUCAAUCUUUCGGACCCUAUAUAUAUAUAUAUACACACACACACACAAUCUGUUAGGAUGCCAGAAUAUAUAUAUAUUCCUUCAAUUGUCCCAUCGCCAUCAUCAUUUGCGUCCCUUCAAGCCAUUUAUAUAUAUAUAUAUAUAUAUAUAUAUGUGUGUGUGUGUGUGUGUGUGUGUGUAUGUGGAAGUUUCAACGUCCUGUCACCAUCACUGUGUACACAUUGUAUAUAUUUGUAUAUGGAACUUGGUUGCCGUGUCUUAUAUAUAUAUAUAUAUAUAUAUAUAUAUAUAUAUAUAUACACAUAUAUAUAUAUACACACACCCAUAUACACACACACACAUAUAAUACUAUAUAAUGUGUCUAUUUUUAUGCACAGUGUGUUUGUGCCCCCACUGAUGGAUUUCUUUGCUGUGAUGCCAGGAAUUCUUAAUUUUAAGAAGGCAGAACAUGAUGUUGGGACCUUCAUGAAGCCUUCAGAGGUGUGAUUGUUGGUGGCGGAGUGAGCAGGUUGCCUAGUGCUUGUGCUAGAGACUGCAACGGGGUUUCGCUGUGUAGUGCCUUUUGAUCACAGUUUUCCCUCGGUGGUGCGCUACCGUGUGGUGCUGUGCAAGAGACUGCAGUGGGGCUUCGCUGUGUAAUGCCUUUUGAUCACAGUUUUCCCUUGGCGAUGACGUCGCCGUGCGAUGCAAGAAAUUGCUUGAGUAGUCGCUGUGGGUUUGCGUAGUGUGAUUGUGUAGCAUUUUAGUUUCCUCUGCCACUGUAGUGUGCUUUGAAUGACCGUCUUGUAGCUGUCAUCUCUGCCGUGCUGCUCAAGCUUUGUGGCUCACUUUUCCGUUGCAGUCAUGGUGUUUCUCAAGUGCUUUAAAAACAACACCAUCAUCAUUCUUGCGAAGGAAGGCGAUCCACAAGAUAGUGGAACGACAUUGAAGCUUUAUGCGCCACUAACUGGCCCUAAGGCGCUUGUUCUUCCCAUAAAAGACAACUUCAUGCAUAUUAAGUCGUGGUCUUCUGAGGUAUCUUGGGAGGUGGUAGACUCCGUUCGACCAACUACAAAGAAGAAGGUGUGUAAAUCGAGGAUUCUUGUCUUGAACUCUUCGCACCAUGAUCGUGCCAACCCUUUGGUUAAGUCUAAGCUUCUUGGCGAUCGUAUCUGUAGCAGAGCUAUAGCUUGGAAUAGCACCCUGUCGACUACUGGAGGAGCCGCCUUCGUUGAGUUUUAUUGGGAAUGGCUUGAAGAUGUCUUGAGCAGUUCCAAAGAUAUACUUACUAACACAGGCAUUUAUCAUGCUGUAUACGCAUCUUUGUUCAGUUAUGAUCGCCAUCCUUCUGUCAUUCGUGCAUUCUUUGAGUAUUGGUGUUCAGCGACCAACACGCUUCACACGGCUCGAGGGGAGAUGUCAAUUUCACUUAGGGAUCUCCACAAGCUAGGGGGUCUGCCUAUCUAGGGAAAAUUUUAUGACGAGGUUGUUCCUAGUGUGGAGGAGUUUUCUUGUCGCAACAGUCGAGGAUUUCCUGCGAGCUGCCGCUAUUUGUUCUGGCGUACCAUAAGCUUUUCCAAGAGGCCCCCGGUAAGUCAGGCGUGAAUAUUUCUUCGUGGAUCCGGUUUUGGUAUUGGGAUGUCGUGAAGUACAAGAGGCCUUCGAAAAAAAAUGAUCGUAACAAGACAACCAGGCCUAAGGGAGACUCUGAUCCAUCAGGCAUCAUUGGUCUAGUUGAGCGUCGUACCCCUAACGAGUUAAGGGCAUUUGAGGAUCUCGGCGUGGCAUUUGAGCACUUGGAAGAAUCUUACUUAGCUGCAUUCUUAGCUUGUUGGCUUUGUAAGUUUGUCUUCCCUAAAGACGACGUCAACUUGAUUCGUCCUGGAGUCUUCAAAGUUGCUAGCAAGAUGGCUGCAGGCUAAUCUUUUAGCCUUGCUAUUCCGGUCUUAGCCAACAUUUACGAUGGCUUAAAAGUUGUUUCGAACUUAGCAAGCACUGAAGAUCGUGAUGCGGUACUUCCUUACCACUACGUGUACGGUUGGUUGGGUAAGUACUUUGGUACUCAUUUUUCUUCGUCAAUUUUAUACAAGUCUGGGCCCUCCGUAGUCAAGCUGGGACCUUUGAUGACGAAGUAUUUUGGCGUGCUUUCUGUGAAGAGUCUCGAUGAUCAGUAGGCGCAAACAUUAUUUAAAAGUUGUGAAGGAUUGAGGAUGGAUCGCCUAGCGAGGGUUGGCUCGGUACGGCGAGACAUCAUGGAUGAUUCACAUCUCCACUUUUCAGACUUGUCUUACCUUAUAAGUCUUCGCUCGGGGUAUGUUUCUUUGCGGCAAGAAGACCGAUGUAUCAUUCAGCCGUACAGUCUUCACCGCUUUAGCAAGCAAUUUGGUUUUGUCCAAAAUGUGCCAGGCACGUUGAGGGAGAAAGCUCGAUCAGAAUCCUUGCAAGCCGCGUAUACGCAUUGGGAGUCGUGUACUCGUGCAUAUACAAACGCUUUUAUCACCCUGCCGGCCAAAGACGAUUUCAAGAGUAAUCCAGUAACCCGUGUAUACGUACGUUGGUGGUCAAAGGUAUAUUAUGAGAAUUUAGGGACGGCAAGUGGUUCCAAUUCUUCCCAUUCACGUCAUGAUGCGUUAAAAGAGGGUUGUUCUGUGGUUCCUAUGCAAUUGGUACCUUUUGAUUGUGCGAGUGUCACUCCUUUGCAAGAUAGACCUAUGGUUUUGGCCCAUCAACACUUACGUCUGUCCUAUCCCCACCUGGAUGCUUCUGAAGAGGUGGGUGACGAAGUUGAUUCGCACGGAGAUGGACCUGUUUUGUGGCUACACCAACAAGUUUUAAAUAAGCGGUCACUCGAAGUCGCUCAGGUUGACAGUGAUGUUAAUUUUCGUCAUAAGAAGAAAUGAAUGUUUAGGCCUCCUCAAUCCGAUGUUCGUGUGUCAGAUGUACGUAUAUUUUUUUUUUCAUUAUUUUAGCUUUUAUUUCUAACAUCUUUCUUUGUUUUGUUUAGGUUGGGCCUUCUUGUUCUUUUGAUCUGGUGACUGCGGGCAUUCACUCCCGUACAGACAUGCUACUUGGAGGCAAUCUACCUACGGAUGGGGAGAUUGGGGAUCCACUUGGUGCAGAGCUCGUUCAAAAUCUGCCCAAUUUCCUAAGCUUGCCGUGUGUAGGUGGAGGCGUACAAGAGUCCAUCAUGCGUCUAACACCUUUGCCAGCUAGUUCGGGGAUCUCUUUGAGAAGGCCGAACCUUAGAGGUACUGAGCAAGUCAUCCAUCGCAUUCGUCUUGGUGCGGCAAUGGAUAUCAAGAGCCAUAUAAAGAAGAGGAUUUCUAAAUGCGCGUUGGAAAACCUUACGUUGCUCAAUGAGGAUUUGUCGAAGCUUGUUCUGUGAUUGACAGCCUUAACGUUGAUUCUUCAUCGUUGAAGAUCAAGAUUGCCGAACUUAUGGCCGCCUCAACUGAGUAUUCUUCCUUGCGUGCUAUUUCCUUAGAGAAGUUGAGUCCGGAUGUUAGAGCUCAUCAGCUAGCAACGAUAAACUUGUCACUGGCUUAAGUCCGGUCUUCUCAGCAAGCUGCUUCGGGAGAUUAUCAAUUCACAAAGACUUCUUUAACUUCUAUCCAGGUGCGUCUAGAUGCGUUGGUGUGAGAGCGAGAGCAGUUGGUAAUCGAAGCAUCGCAACUUGAAAGUGUUCUCUCGGAGCAGGGAACUACACUUUCUCAGUACCAGGAGGAGAUUUCGCGCUUAGAACGAGAGAAAGGCAUGACAAUGGAGUUGCCCAACUUGUCUCCCACCGAGGUAGAGACUUUAAAAACUUUGGAAGGCUUGCUUGAAUAUCGCCUUCGUAGUUUUAGGGACAUAGUUUUCAAGUAGUAUCUUCUAUUUUUUUUUCUUGUAAUAAGGCUUUGGAGCCGACUUCUUCUUUUAAAGAAAUAAAGUAUUUACAUUUUUUGAAGUUUUGAAGUUUCAAGUUGCCUACGUACCCUCAGUUGAGGAGGGAUCAAGUCAUAACGUAGUUCAAAUGAGCGAUGAAUUUAGCAAUGAUUUUGAUGAUAAUUUUGCCGUACACAAUUUAUGCUCUUGCGGGCUAGGAGCUUUGGUUCAUGCGGUUUAGGUUCGUGCGAACAAAGAGCAAGAGUUUGUCGCUUUUUAAGGGUAGUAGCACUUCAAGAAUCUGCCAUUGAUAGGGCCGAUCUUUAAGCCGUCUUCCGCCAUGAUUAAGUAGGCGCCAUUGGUGUAGACUUCUUGUAUUACGUAUGGUCCAUCCCAUUUUGACGUGAACUUGCUCUUUGUCUUGUGAGUUGUGAUGAUAGGCCUACGGAAUAAAAGGACGAGAUCUCCCAUUUGAAAAGAACGAGGGAGAACUUUCUUGUUGAAGGCCUUGGAGAGUCGUGCUUGAUAACACUCCAAGUGUUGCUGGGCUUCGAGUCUUUUCUCAUCCAGCGCUUCCAGCUCUUGAAGGCGCAACUUUGCAUUCUCUUCGUCAGUCAAGCCUUCUUGUAUAGCCAUCCUUAGCGAAGGGAUUUGACUUUCGAGCAGUAUAACAGCUUCCACGCCAUAUACGAGAGAAUAAGGUAUAGCUUGGGUAGGCGUUCUAUAUGUCGUCCUGUAUGCCCAAAAUGCUUCGCCUAUUCUUUCAUGCCAGUCUUUCUUUGUUCUACCGAUUACCUUCUUCAGGAGGUUGCACAAUGUCUUGUUAAAUACUUCUGCAAGACCGUUGGCCGAAGCAUGAUACAUGGAGGAUUUGUGCUGCUUGAACUUGUAUUUCUCGCAUAGCUCGUCCACGAGUCGGUUGGAGAACUAUUUUCCAUUGUCAGUGACAAUGUAGCGAGGCUCACCAUAUCGGUGGAUGAUAUGUUCCUUGAUGAAACGGACGACAGUUUGCUUCUUGACUUCAUUCAGGGGUAUGGCUUCAGCCCACUUGGAGAAGUAAUCUGUUGCAGCCAGGAUGUAAGAGUCUCCUGCAAAUGACUUUGGCGCAAUUGGUCCUACGACGUCCAAUCCCCAUGCAUUGAAUGGCCAUGAAGUAGCUGUGGGGUGUAAUGGUUCAAGCGGUUGAUGUAUGAAGUUGGCGUGAAAUUGGCAGGCUUGGCACCUUUUGGCGUGUUCUAGGCAGUCCUUUACCAUGCUUGGCCAGUAGUAACCCAUUCUUUUGAGCUGGAAAUGAAGCUUCGGUCCGGACUGAUGCGCCCUACAUAUUCCUGAGUGUGCUUCUUCCAUGGCUUAAUUGGCUUCUUCCUCGCCUAGGCAUCUCAGAAGUACUCCUUCAAAAAAUCGCCGGUAGAGUGUCCCUUUGUAAUAGAGGAAGCGAUGUGCUCGUUGACGUACUUCAGAGCGGUGUUUUGGAUCAUCUGGGAGUAUUCCAUGCUCCAAGCAGUUGAUCAGCGGUUGUCUCCAUUCUUCAACGUUAACCAGAAGUAUGGAAAUAACGUUUGUAUCACUAAGUACCAUUUCAGUGACAGGCGGGAUUACCCAUCUUUGGCAGACUGGCACGUUUGCAGCUUCGUCUUCUCCUAAUGUCAUGCUCGAGGCUAGGUUAGCGAGAGCGUCUGCCAUUUUAUUCUCUUUUCUUGGCACGUGUUCUAGUGUUACGGUCUCAAAUCUUUGUAGCAAUUGUGUUGCCAGCCGGAAGUAUAGGACGAGAUCAUCUUUCAUCACCUCAUAUGCAGUCAAGAGUUGAUUGAUUAUGAGCUUGGAGUCGCCAUAUAUCUCAAGGGCUGUGAUUUCCAUGUUGAUUGCCAUUUGGAGCCCGAUGAUCAGUGUUUGGUACUCAGCGACGUUGUUGGAGCAUAAUUCGCUUAGUUGGAUUGAAUAAGGUAGUAUUUGCCUUUGUGGCGACAUGAAUACUACUCCUGCCCCCGCUCCGUCUGCUCAUGCAGAUCCGUCGAAGAACAUCGUCCAUGUCGAGAAUAUGUCGAUGUAGAACACCUCUUCGUCAGGCAAGUCAUCUGAGAUUUUCCAAUCGGCUGGGAUUGGAUGGUCAGCAAGGAAGUUUCCUAGCGCUUGUCCCUUGACGACUUUAGCUGGGACGUAGAUGAUCUCGUAUUGAUUGAGAAGCAAUGCCCAUUUAGCUAGUCGUCCUAUCAAAACUGGCUUGCACAUGACGUAUUUGACCAGGUCAGCUUUAGCAACCAAGUGGAUGGUGUAAGCAUGCAUGUAAUGUCUAAGCUUCUGGAUGGCAAACAUCAAGGCAAGGCACAUUUUUUUCUAUUGGGAGUAGUUCAACUCAGCGCCAGUGAGCGUUCGACUGAGGUAGUAGAGCGCACCUUCUUUCUGGGAUUCGUUUUCCUGUGCCAAGAGUGCUUCAACUGAUCUUUCCUGAGCAGCGAUGUACAAUAUGAGCGGUUUCCCUGGUAUAGGUGCCCCCAGGACAGGUGGACUUGAUAAAUACUUCUUUAUGCUUUCAAAAGCAUUGUUGCAUGCUUUGUCCUAUACGAACGGAACAUCUUUUUUCAUGAGUCGACUUAACGGUUAACAACGCCCUGCAAGGUUAGAGAUGAAGCGUCUGAUGAAGGCUAGCCGUCCUUGAAGACUUUUCAACUCGUGCAAGUUUCUUGGCUCGGGCAUGCUUUGAAUUGCCUUGAUCUUUGAUUGGUCCACUUCAAUGCCACGAUGCUUGACAAUGAAGCCAAGGAACUUUCCAGAUGUGACGCCAAAUGCACACUUUAACGGGUUCAUCUUAAGGUUGUAUUUUUGCAACCUUUCGAACACUACUCGCAAAUCCUUCAAGUGAUCUGAUCCUUUCUUUGUCUUGACCACCACAUUGUCUACAUAACAUUCUACGUUCUUGUGUCGCAUGUCAUUGAAGAUCUUUUGCAUUGCGCGUUGAUAUGUAGCUCCAGCAUUCUUCAGACCAAAUGGCAUCACCUUGUAGCAGUAGAUACCUUUUGGAGUACGGAAGGCUAUUAGUUCCUCAUCUUCAAAAGCCAUACGAAUUUGAUUGUAUCCAGAAGAGCCGUCCAUGAAUAAUAGUGCCUCAUGGCCAGUGGUCGCGUCCACCAUGAUUUCAAAGAUUGGCAAAGGGAAGUCAUCCUUUGGGCAAGCAUCAUUGAAGUCUCGGAAGUCUACGCAAACACGUAUUUGUCCAGAUUUCUUAAGGACUAUGACAAUGUUGGAGAUCCACUUGGGGUAUUGCACCUCUCGAAUGAAGCCUACUUCGAUCAACUUGUCAAUCUCAGCCUCGAUUUGUGGGAUGAGCUCGGAUCGAUAACGUCUUUGAGUUUGCUUUAUUGGUCGUGUUUCAGGUUUAACUGCAAGAUGAUGCACAGCAAUGAUAGGGUCGAGGCCGGGCAUUUCCUUGUAGGUCCAAGCAAAGACGUCCUUGUACUCUAAUAGCAGCUGGUAAUACUUCUCUAUCUCGUCUGCACUUAGUAAUGCACUUACUAAGAUAGGCUUUGGUUCCUCACUCGUGCCUAAGUUAAGUUCUUUGAGAUCGUCAACUGUGGCUUGCCCCCCUUCUUCAAGUUGUGACGGCGCUGCAAUGACAUCUUCCUCGAGGAUUUCAUCUUCUUCACCUUCUUGGAUUGUGAUGUGGAAGACGUCUUGGGUCUCUUCUUCGGUGUUGACCUCUCAAGCUUGUUGGCAUGAAGAUUGUCCAGUGUAGAUGAUGGUGCGCCUUUUCACUUUCAGUGAUCCAACUGUGUUAACCUCUAAAAUUUCUUGGCGCUUCAUUCUUGAAGGAAUGGAACUUCGAACGUCAUCCUUUUCUGCCAGAUGAUCAAUCUUUUCUACUUCUGGUGUCGUCUUUCUCCUUCUAGAAGGCUCUUUGGCUUCUUCAAGUCUUUCCAUAACUGACUGUCGUGGAAGAAAGCUAGUCAUAUUGCUUUGCUUCUUAGGUUUCGACAACCUUUUGAAAACAGAGCUUCGAGAUGCUGACGUGUUAAGCCUUUUGAAGACGUAAGUUCUGUUUUGACCGCCAAUGAGUUUAAGUGCUGAAACUCUGGGCUUUGAAUGAUUCAUUCUAUCGAAUACUGACGUCUGGGGGGCAGAUUGAGGCUCUUCUUUAUCUUGUAUAACGCUUACGCUGAUGUGUUGAGUGCUAGCAUUUUUUGCCUUGCUGGAGAUCUUCACCGGUGCAUUUCGUGUGAAGCCAAGUCCAGCUUUGUUGUUGUUGACCCCGUAACCAUGCUCCUCCAACUUCUUCUGAGUUUUAGUGAGAUCACGUUCGUUGUCUUUGACGGUGUUCAAAUCCUUCUUUCCUAAAUUUGCAGAGGAGGUGAAGUUGUACCCAACUCUCGACAUGAGUUUGUAGGCGUUUGGAUCAAAACCUUCUUCGGUCCUCUUGGUUGGGAGUAAGCUUGGUUCUACCCCCUUUGGCAGGCCUUUACAAAGCCUUGUUAUGGUCUUGCAACCUUAGUGUCGCCUAGCUGUGUCAGAGGUAAAACUGCAUUCGUUUUAAGCAACUUUACAUUAUCCAUGUGCCGCUGUGCAUCGGCUUUGCUUGCUGCAGUUUCAAAUGGGGAUUGACCAUUCUUUCUUCUCGACAUCGGGAUGUAUCAGAAAACGGGUAUGUUUGGUCCAUUUGAGGGCGUCCUACUCCCUCUGGUUGUUGUAGGUUUAGCAAGCUCAUCGUCGUUUUUUCUUGAAGAUGACAUAGCUUCUUCUUCUUGCUUCUUGGGCACGGUUUGCCACUUCUGCUUUUUAGGUGUUGCUUUGCUCAUGGAUUUGAUAUCUUUUGGAAGAGUUUCGGGUACCAUGUCUUCAUCCAUGUAGAACUUGGCGUCUACGAAAUGUGAUUCGGCUUCGAUGAAUGGCUUGGUGUCACCAUAUAGAACAUGGAAUAUUGUGCUUGACUUGAGUUCACCAAUGGUCAUCUCCACUCGGAUCAUACCCAUCGCUCUUUGUCCUCCUUGGUCAAAACCUUGGAUUAGUAGACGACUUAGGGAUAGUUCAUCCACCUUGAUGCCAAUUGUGGUCAUUGUUGACUUUGGCAUGAUAUUUAUGGCUGAUCCGCCAUCCACAAGCAUGCGGCUGACUUUGUGCUCCCUUACGUACCCAGAGACGAAGAGAGGUCGGUUGUGAACCUUGGAUCCUAGCAGCAAGUCUUCGUCGGUGAAGUGGAUUGUGUCAUCGGCGGCACAGCAUGUGGCACAUUCAUGUGGUCGAAGCUUCAAGCUUUCGUUCUUGCUUUCUUGCACUUCAUGGUCGUCGGAACUUGCCAAAACCGCUGUCAGUGCUCUUCGCAUCUUUUUGGCAAUCGGAGCGCUCCCUCGAUACUAAAGUGUGUUGGUAGACCUUCUUCAGUUGUAAAAGUCUUUUCCCCCUCAGUGGUGACAGCUUUGCCUUUUGAGGGUUCUUCCAUUUCUACUUCGACCAUGUGACAUGCAGUGAUAGUGUACUGUUGGAAGAAGUCAUUCGGGAAGUAUUCGUGUAAGGAGACGGGAAUACGUGGCUCUUGCUCCAUAGGUUCCCCAGCAUAUGUUGGCUUAGUAGCUCUUAUGUUUCUUUUAGGUUUCCUAUUGUUGCGGCGGCAAUGCUUUCUCGCUUGCUCCCCCUUUGGCCUUAUAGCUUGUGGUAUUGGCUUCCUCGUCUUCUUAUAGGUCACCAAUGUCCACCCUUCUUCAUUAUCGAUAGAUGCAUCCUGGUCGUUUGCCCCCAAUAAUGGUUGUGCAGAAGGUGCCGUGUAGCUUGUGCAUUGAUAGGAAUGGUCGGGCAUUUCUUGAAGAGGCACAGGAUCAAAGGAUCCAAACACGAUCGUAGUGGUGUGCGUUGCGGCUGUGUCUUCUAAGUCGAGCUUAAUCCACCCUUGCUGUGCCAACUUCAUGAUGAGUUCUUUUAAGAUGAAGCACUUACCCACAUGAUAACCCACGAUACGAUGGUACUUGCAGUACUUGGGAUCAUUAACGCGAUUCAUCUCUUCGGGGCGUUUGCGUUCAAGCAACUCAAUCACCUUCUUCUCCAGUAUGUCGUCCAGCAUUGCGUCCAUGUCGGAGUCCGGAAAAGGGUAUACCUUCUGCUCCAGUUCCCUCAAGGUCUUUUUGUACCUAUCUUGGGUGUGGGAAGGUUUGCUUCUUUUUAUCUCCUUUGCUUUGUUAUUGAAGGAGAUUUUGAUGGGUACGGACGAGGUCUUGAUAGGGGUGGUAUUGGUGGUAAAAGCUUCAUUGGCGGGCCUUUUCCCAUGAUUGUCUGUUCUUAAAGUAAACACCUUAUCCCUUUUGAAAUCGGUGAUUGGCUCCUUCUUUCCAUGGUGGGCAAUGCUCAGUUCCAUGUCGUGGGCACGGGUGGCUAAUUCUUCAAAAGUCCGUGGUUUAAUACCUUGAAGGAUGUAUUGUAAACCCCAUUGCAUGCCCUGGAUGCACAUCUCGAUUGAAGAAAUCUCGGAUAGCCUGUCCUUACAGUCGAGGCUUAGAUUACGCCAUCGGUUGAUGUAGUCCAUGACUGGUUCUUCCCUCCAUUGCUUCGUGCUCGUCAACUCUAGCAUGCUCACAGUGCGGCGAGUACUGUAGAAACGGUUGAGGAAUUCCCUUUCCAACUGUUCCCAGCUAUUGAUGGACUCGGGCUCCAGGUCCGUGUACCACUCAAAAGCAUUUCCUUUUAAUGAGCGCACAAACUGCUUGGCGAGGUAAUCUUCUUCCGUCUCUGCAUUGUUGCAGGUUUCGACGAAAUGUGUGACAUGUUGCUUCGGGUUUCCUUUUCCGUCAAAUUGCAUAAACUUCAGCGGUUGAUAACCCAUCGGCAUCCUUAAGGCAUCGAUCUUCCUGGAGUAUGGCUUCGAGUACAAUGUGGAGGCAUGUAAGCUCCAUUCGUACUGCGCUUUGACGGUGCUGGCGAUCAUCUCUUGCAAUUGCUUGAUGGAGAGAGAUCCCAUGAGCGCUGUUGUCUGGUCUAUCUUCAGCUUUUCUUCAGCUUUCUCCGCUAUAGGCUCAUCUUCUUCGUCGUCUUCCUUAUUCGGAUGAUCAAUAUUCAGGUUGGGUUUCUCUCCGUCAUGCACCUCCAGUCGGUUGACGAGUGCUGCAAUUUGCAAGUCUUUUUCUUCCACAGUUCGGGUUAGCCUUGCAAUUGCUUCAUUCAUCUGAGCCAGCUGCUCAUCGAUCGAAGUUGCUCCGGUAGCCAUAACUUGCAUGGCUAUGCUGUCGCUUGAGUCAACAUUGGAAAACAAAGACUCGGAGUACUUCCUCGGGCUUUCCUCCCUUGGCGCCCUUAGCGAGGCCGUUUGUGCCUCGGGUGCUCUUGUCCCUUUGGCAGGGUUGAUGUAGGGGUGGAAGAGGAGGCAGCAAGAGCUCUUGCCUUGCUUCGAGUUAUGAUGCCCGAAAUGGCGCCAUCUGCGGCGAUAAUGCUCUAGUUCUUCACGUUGGUUGUGGGAACAGCUUGAGCCUUCCUUGAUGCCAUUGAUUUUGGGAGUGUGCUCGAAUUUCUUGAACGGAGAAAGAGAUGAGAGGUAGAGAUAGUCCCACUAGGCGUGCCAAAUUUGUAAACACAGAAUAUUCCUGAAACGAAAGAGACAAGAACACGUGCACAAAAUAAUAUUUGUAUUUGAUGAUUUGGGGUUUACAAUAUCUCUCAAAUUUGAUCCUCUGAUUCGAUCUUCGUAAGGUGUUAAAUGUGAGGAUGAGCGAUUGAUCCAAAUGGUCGUUGGGCUUGAUCUAAGGAUGAACGUUUUUCAAGGGCCGUGGGCUUGAUUUUGAAGGUGGAUUUGAGCGGAUCUUCAAGGAGCCGUUGGGGCUUGAUCUUGAGAAUGAGUGAUUCUUCAAGGGCCGUUGAAGCUUGAUCUUGAAUAAUGGUGAUGAACGGAUCUUCAAGGGCUUUUGGGCUUGAUCUUGAAGAACGGUUGGAUGUGUGGAUUUGUUGAUGUUGUUGAUCCAAGGGCCGUCGGGGCUUGAUCUUGGAAGAACGAUGAACGAAGAACGAAGAACACUUUCUUCAAGGGCCAUCGGGGCUUGAUCUUGAAUUGGUGGAUUGUUAAUCCAAGGGCCGUCGGGGCUUGAUCUUGGAAGAACGAUGAACGAAGAACGAUGAACGAAGAACGAAUAACGCUUUCUUGAUUCUUCGGGAACCUGGAUGCUUGAGAACUUCGGAGUUUCAGAGUUUCAGAGCUUCAAGGUUUUGGUGUCAUAUGAAUUGGUGAAAUGAAAUGAAUGAAAUUGGCUUCUAUUUAUAGAAUUUUCCAAGGCCUAAUUUUGAAUAUAAUAUUCCAGAUGAAAUAAGUCAUUUCUGUCAGGUGUUGACACGUGUCCUGUUUGAUGACUUUUCCAACUAAUUUCGAUUUUUUGUUUAGACACAUGCUACGUGUAAAAUUUAUGUAAUACAUGAGCGUUGAAACUUUGAUUUAUCGGUCAACAUUUAUUUACCGAAAUUUCGAUGUCUACAAACGGACUUCCAAACAACCAUCUAAGAACUUCCAAUUCGGUCCUCAAAUGCCAGCAAUGGAGAAAAGCUUCUCCAACAUUUGGUCUUCUCAGUAAUAUAAUAUUAGUUUUCAAUCUGCAGAAACAAAGAUUUCAUCUGUAGGUGGCUAGUUAUUACAAAAACAGAAACCACAUUUGUAUCCUAUAGAUAUCUGUGACUGUGAGUGAGUGAGUAAGCCACAGCCCUCGACUAACAAAACCAAAUUCUAAUUAGUUCAAACAAACAAUGGAAGGAAAACAUACUUCAAAUUCUAAUUAAUUACCUAAAAACUUGGUUUUAUUCGAAUAUAUAAACCUACAAGGAGAAAUGAGAUUAUAAGUACAAAAUUUCUACAAGGUGAUCAAAGAACUACAUCAUUUGGAUGAACAUUUAAAGCAACUACUCCUCAUCUGUUCCUGUCUUUAUUAAUCAAGCAUUCACGCAGAGACGGUAGACUUGUAGGACUAUUGUUUAAUCACGAGUUGGGGUUCACAAUGAUCUAAAGUGAGAAAACUCCUUCACAUAUACAUUUAAAUACAAUUAACUGAAAAGCCAUGGUAUUAAAAUCAAUCAUUCACUUUCUAAUUUAUAAGUAACAACAAGAGCAUCUCUCUUAAAUUCCCUCUCUAUCUCCACCAGUUGUUGAUUUUAUGAACAAUAAAUGACCCAUAAAAGACAAAAGGCAGGAGACAAAAUUUUGUCCAAAACCAAAAAUGUUUCAAGACACCGUCCAGUAAAUCUAACCAAAUUAAAUUCGUUAGGGCAACUGCAGAAUGAGGUUUUCAUCGGCCAGGAGAAAAAAUAAAAAAAUGAAAACGAACUAAAACAAGGCAAUUUGUGAGUUUCUGGGGUUCUAUAUGAUGUGAAACUUAAAACGAAACUUCGAGAUAGAGAAUUUAGAUUUGUGACUUACAUAUUAACAACCAGAAAUCGCAGCCUCAAAAUUAUGAAAUCGUAGCCUCCAAUAUUCAAAAUCGCAGUCUCAAACUUCUGUACUCGAAGCUCCAAUAUUCGAAAUCCCAGCCUCAAAUCUCUGAAAUCAUAGAAAUACAAAUUAUUCAUGAAAUCAACCCAAUCAGUUCUUCGAAAACGAAAUAAAAAACAAAUUCAGAAAAAUGAAAAGAAAAAAAAAAGCGAAUCAAAACAAUUCUAUCCAAUCAUAAGAAACCAAAACCCUAACAGAGUCCUCUGCAGAUCGAAUUCAGACUGGACUAGUGGGAAACGAGUCAAAAUUGUAUUGAAAGUAGAAUAUCUCUGAAAUCGUAGCUUCUAACCUCUAGCUCAUAUCAAAAUCGACGGAAAAGCCAUGGGAGAGAGCGUGACAAGUUGGAGCUCUCGACAAGUUCGAGAGCUGGAGAAUUUGUUUUUUUCUUGGUUAAUAUAUACUAGCCGGCACGCAUAGACAUUUUUUAAUCACGGCGCUACGUGCGAUUUACACAUUUUAAAUGUAUUUAUAUGCGAGGAUUGGUUCAAUGUAUAGAAACAUUAAAUAAAGGUGAUUAUCAACUCUAAUAAUACAGGCAUGAAUUUAAAGUAUUUUAUCUAGAAUAUGUAAAAAAAAAAAGUAAUAAAUAACAUAGAAGAUCCUUAUACUGUAGUCGCAACUAAAAACUAAAUAAAAAGUGUAAAAACAAUUCAAGAACUUCAAUCGACCUUGAUACACUUGACAACAAAAUAUAUCAUGAACUCAUAUCGUUUUGUCCUGUAAUCUGUACCCCAAAAGCUAGCGCAUGAUCGUUUUUCAAACAUUGGCAAGCAAAACCCCAUAUAUAGUUCCACAAAAUCUUGGCGUGAUUGAUGUCCAACACUCUGCAAAAGAAGAAAAAGAUUUUCAAAUGGAUUAUGGAACUAAAACAACGCACCAUUCCACCAAUUUUGAUUUAAAACUAUGAGCAACUCAUUGGGAGAAAAAUGAUGAAUAGACUGUUGAGAAAUCUUUUUUGGACGAUUCAAAAGUGAAUAGCAUAAAAAAGACAAUUUAAUUUUUAAUAUUAUACCCUAAUAUUUUAUAGGUUAAUCUAUUUAGUCAAUCCGUCAUGUGUGGUUUUUAUCAUAAUCCUCUUUCUCCUUUACAUUUGGCAAUUGUGUAGAUUUGCAUCUCUAGUAAAAAAUUUCUUCUAUUGUACUUUGUUUGUUGACAAAGUAUUUUGCAAAAAACAAAUAAGCAUCGGUGACAAAGAGUAAAUGAAAUACAUACUAUCAAACUAAAAUACAUACCUUAGAACGAUUAUUCCCACCACCACAGCCUUGUUCGUUCGAUAUAUGUUUGACUGAGAGGAAUAAAAAAUCAUGAAAACUAGUCUCAAUAUAGAGGUCAAGCAACAUUUAAUAGUAAGGAGAAAAAGAAAAAAAAGUAUCAUAAAAAAUAGGACCAAUCGAAAAUUAUGGAAAGAAAAGAGGAAUAAAACUCAGUUAACUUCACAAAAGAAAUUUUAUCAUCACAAUAGAACACUUAACACACGGUAAACCUCAUCUUACUAUUUCACAGCAGAAUAAGUAAAUUUUUUCCUUGAAGUUGAAUGCUCUCCAAAUGGAGAAGAGCUUGUUCUUGGUCUUUUAGAAUUCCUCUGGACUCAUGUAGGAAAUCUCAGUUUAAGCCCUUCAACCAUCCUUACAAUUAGUCAGUCUCUUCCUAAUUUCUUCCUUCAUCCCAGACAUAUGCUCUCUAAAAACUACAAACUCAAUGAACACACCUUCCUCAUAAAUACGAUUUCUCAACAAUAUGCUCCCUAAACAAAUAAUGUUGAACACUCAAAAAUGUCAGGUUAGUUCUAUAGUAUGCAAGGAGUAACAGUUCUAGUCUUACCUAUUGGGAGAAUAAUGUAAAUUCGUGAGGGCAAAUCAUAGAGACAAAAGAUCGAAACAAAUGGCUUACUAAUUGAGUCGACUCUCAUCUGAAACAAAGGAAGCAUGGCAACAGGCAACAUACCUGGAAAAGAAAACGUUAAAUAAUAAGAAAUAUUGGAGAAUCUAUAUACACAAAAUAUUCAGGAUUUAAAAAACAUAAUCUUCAAAAGCCAGAUUUAAAAAAACAUAAUCUUCAAAAGCCAACAAUGACAAAAUCACAUACAAUGGUUCAGAAGAACCUGAAUCAUGUGAUGUACCUUGUCUUUUCUGAUGAGCUUGCAUCCUGCAAGAGGUGCAACACUGAAGGUUUGAGCAAGAAGCUUAUCACCCAUUCAAAAUUAAUUAGAAACAAAAUGAAAUUUGAGCAAAUGAUCGUUUGCAAGGCCGACAUGCAUACAAUUCAGAGACGAUGGUUUACCUUUUUGUUUCUAGAAGUUGAAAACAUAAUCUUGAGAGACGAUGAGAUUUUGGAAAACCGAGGAAAUUUGAUUAAAAAGGGAUAUGAAAUCGGAGAAAUUUGUGGAAACGUACAGCGGUUUCCAAUCGCCCCUGCAGAACGGGGAAUCGUUGCAGAAAAUUGCUUCUAUCUCUAGCUUUAGCAGUUUAUCUUUCGUCCUCUAUUUGAGGGUUUACCACAUUCUUUUUUUUUUAAUCUUGAUUUUUUUUUCAAUAAAAUGAAUUAUAAAUUUAUGUUUUUUUUUACAAAAAUACCCCUGUUGUUUUGAUUGCAUUAUUUUCAUUCAGUUUUAUAGGGGUGUAGUCAAACUAAGGAGUGUAGUCAAAGUAAGAUUUUAAAGGAUUUUAAAAGGGAUAGAUUUGAUAGGAUUUAAGAGGAUUAAAUAUUCCUACAAAAUUCAUAUGGAUUUGAAUGGAUAGUUUGUAGAUUUUGGUGGAUUGUGAUGGAAGGAUUUGAAAUCCUAGAGGGUGAAGUUGGAUUCUUUUUAACCUUGGUUACAUAUAGAAAUCCUUAGAAAUCCUUUAAAAUCCACAACUUAUAGAAAUCCUCCAAAAUUUGAAUACACUUAGGGGGUGUAGUCAAACUUGGAUUUGAGAGGAUUUUAAAAGACUUUAAAAUCCUAGUAUAGUCAAUUAAAAAUUUUUAAAGGAUUUUAGAAUCUAUUAAAAUCUAGGUGUAGUCAAUUAAAAGAUUUUAGAAUCCAUUCAAAUAUAGGCAUAGUCAAUUAAAAGAUUUUAAAGGAUUUUAGAAUCAAUCCAAAUCUAAGUGUAUUCAAAUCAUUAAGAUUUUAGACGAUUUUAAAAAGUUGUGGAUUUUGUGGGAUUUGAAAGCAAAAAGUAUAUAUAACCAAAAUUAAAAAGAAUUCAACCUCACCCCCUAGGAUGUCAAAUCCUUCCCCCACAAUCCACCACAAUCCAUUCAAAUUCUUUAAAAUCCAUAUGAAUUUUGUAGGAGUCUUUAAUCAUCUUAUCCUAUCAAAUCUAUCACUUUUAAAAUCCUUUAAAAUCCUUUAAAAUCUAAGGUGGGGUGUAGUCAAACUUGGAUUUGAGAGGAUUUUAAAAGACUUUAAAAUCCUAGUGUAGUCAAUUAAAAGAUUUUAAAGGAUUUUAGAAUCCAUUAAAAUCUAGGUGUAGUCAAUUAAAGGAUUUUAGAAUCCAUUAAAAUCUAGAUGUAGUCAAUUAAAAGAUUUUAAAGGAUUUUAAAAUCCAUCCAAAUAUAAGGAGGGUGUAGUCAAACUAAGAUUUUAAAGGAUUUUAAAAGUGAUAGAUUUGAUAGGAUUUAAGAGGAUUAAAGAUUCCUACAAAAUUCAUAUGGAUUUGAACGCAUAGUUUGUAGAUUUUGGUGGAUUGUGAUGGAAGGAUUUGAAAUCCUAGGGGGUGAAGUUGGAUUCUUUUUAGCCUUGGUUACAUAUAGAAAUCCUUAGAAAUCCUUUAAAAUCCACAACUUAUAUAAAUCCUCCAAAAUUUGAAUACACUUAGAUUUGGAUGGAUUUUAAAAUCCUUUAAAAUCUUUUAAUUGACUACACCUAGAUUUUAAUGGAUUCUAAAAUCCUUUAAUUGACUACACCUAGAUUUUAAUAGAUUCUAAAAUCCUUUAAAAUCUUUUAAUUGACUACACUAGGAUUUUAAAGUCUUUUGAAAUCCUCUCAAAUCCAAGUUUGACUAUACCCCCGCUAAGAUUUUAAAGGAUUUUAAAGGAUUUGACUGCACCCCCCUAAGAUUUUAAAGGAUUUGACUGCACCCCCCUAAGAUUUUAAAGGAUUUUAAAAGUGAUAGAUUUGAUAGGAUUUAAGAUGAAUAAAGACUCCUACAAAAUUCAUAUGGAUUUUAAAGAAUUUGAAUGGAUUGUGGUGGAUUGCGGGGGAAGGAUUUGAAAUCCUAGGGGGUGAGGUUGGAUUCUUUUUAGUUUUGGUUAUAUAUACUUUUUGCUUUCAAACCCCACAAAAUCCACAAACUUUUUAAAAUCGUUUAAAAUCUUAAUGUUUUGAAUACACUUAGAUUUAGAUGGAUUCUAAAAUCUUUUAAUUGACUACACCUAGAUUUAAUGGAUUCUAAAAUCCUUUAAAAAUUUUUAAUUGACUAAAGGAUUUUAAAGUCUUUUAAAAUCCUCUCAAAUCCAAGUUUGACUACACCCCCCUUAGAUUUUUUUAUGUGAGGGUUAUUUUAGUCCAAUUAUUUUUGGUGAAGCCUUGAGACACUAAAGUUGUCUUCUGGCUUUCUAAUAUUAGAGAUUUAGUUUUAGAUUUUUUGUUUGAGGGUUAUUUUAGUCCAAUUAUUUUUGGUGAAGCCUUGAAACACCAAAGUUGUAUUCUGACUUUCUAAUAUUAGAGCUACAGUAGAUGAAACAAGAUGUGAGCGUAAAUAUACAAGAGUUUUUUUUUUAGAAAAUAUAGAGAAGGUAGAGAAGUUAUGGAGAAAUGUGAAAGAGAGAAAUGGAAACAAGUUUAAAAAUUUAGAUAUAUGUUAGGUUAAUGUGGGUGGGUGAAGGAAAAAUUUCGUUUAUACAAAAUUACGUUACUGUUAUGAUUUUAUUUUGUGAUAAAAAAUUACAUUAUUUUUUUUUGGGGGGGGAGAGAUUUUGUUAACAUGUAAUUUAUAUAAGACUAUAUAUUUUUUAAGAGAGACUAAGUUUUUUAUUUAUCUGAGAGAGAGAUUAAACUUAUUCACGUGAUAUGCGAUGUCAUGAUUAUUUUUUAAUUGCUUUUUCGUUAACAAUUUUACUCUAAAUCUCUAUAUUCUUAUUUAUACGUUUUAGUUUUAUGUCCUUUUUUUUCUUCUUGGUCCAUUUCUAUCUCUCUUCCUUCUCCAUUCUACCCAUGUCUCUCUUUCUCUCUCUCCACCUUCUUCUUUGUAUUUUUCUUUCUCUUCUCUCUUCGUACUUCUCUCUAUUCCUCUUCCUACAUCAUUAUCUCUACUAGUAUUGAAAAUUUCGAAACUGAUCUUUUCAAAGUGUUGGAAUUUUAAAUUUGAUCUUAUAGAAAUUUUGAAACUGAUCUAAUAGAAGUGCAAAUAAAAUUUGAAAGUAAUCUUGCAAAAGUGAAUGAAUUGUGAAACUGAUCGUUCAGAAAUAAGAAAUUAAUUUUUACGGAUCUAAAAUCAGUUUGAAGUUUUUAUAGAUGGUGUCACUUUAUAGUUUUGGCCUGGUUAACUAACAAGUCUAUUAUGCACAAAACCGGAGGUCUUGGAACAACGUAAAUCUGACCAUGAAUCUGCAAGAAAGUAAAGAACACAAAAUGUAUCGUGGUUCACCCCAAUGUUUGGGCUACGUCCACACUGAUAUUGUAUUUCUCUGUUUGUGAGAGGAUUGUGAGGGAGAGAGAGCUUCUGUUUAGGGGAUGUAAGGCUCUCAAUAUGAGGGUGAGGAAGCCCUUUUAUAGACUAAGGGCUCCUCCCCUUUUUACAUAUUUGCCCCUUCAUUUAUUACACAAUUACAUUUGAGUCCCUCGAGUAUUUAUACGAGGUCUAAAUACGAAGGCCCUAAGUAUGGUAUAAAUAGUAGUCCCUCAAGUCUUCAGUCAAAAGAGUCUUUUGGCUGGAGACUUGAAAUUCAGUCCAUGUGUGAGCCGAAGUAACUAGAUGUCAUCUAGAACUGAUACUCGAUAUGAGGCGAUGCCCAAUCUGAAAUGAUGCUCAACCAGAAGUAGCACAUGUUGCGAAGCUGCUCUGCUUGUGGCUUAUGUUGCCUUGGUUGGUUCGGCUUGUGGUGUUAAAGGUGAGGGAGUCCCUUUUAUAGACUAAGGGCUUACUCCUCAAUACAUAAAUGAUGGGCUAGAGUUGAUGCUCGCGGCGAGGCGGUUACUCAGCAGGCGGCGAUGCUCUCUAAUGAUGGUGAGGGAGUCCCUUUUAUAAAAUAAGGGCUCGCUCCUCAAUACAUGAAUAAUGGGCUGGCGUUGAUGCUCGCGGCGAGGCGAUUGCUCAGCAGGCGGCGAUGCUCUCAAAUGAUGGUGACAGAGUCCCUUUUAUAAAAUAAGGGCUCGCUCCUCAGUAUAUGAAUAAUGGGCUAGAGUUGAUGCUCGCGGCGAGGCGGUUGCUCAGCAGGCAGCGAUGCUCUCUAAUGAUGGUGAAGAAGUCCCUUUUUAUAAAAUAAGGGCUCACUCCUCAGUACAUGAAUAAUGGGUGCUCUCUAAUGAAAGUAAGGGAGUCCCUUUUAUAAAAUAAGGGUUCGCUCCUCAAUACAUGAAUAAUGGAUGCUCUCUAAUGAAAGUGAGGGAGUCCCUUUUAUAAAAUAAGGGCUCACUCCUCAAUACAUGAAUAAUGGGUUAAGUCCCUCGAGUAUUUUUCAUAAGGCCCAGUUGUGGAAGCCCAAUAUGUGGUAGAUAGUGUAUUCCCUUAAGUCUUCAGUCAAGAGAGACUGUUGGCUGGAGACUUCAAAUUCAAUCCAUGUAUGGGCCGAAGUGGCAGUUGUUCGGAGGUGGUCUUUAUAGACCAUGCACUGAAGCUUUGUAGGUGAAACUUUUAAAGUGAAGCUUUGAAGCUGGAACUCUGUAAAUGAAGCUUUCGAAGCUGAUUAACAUGAGUGAUGCUCAUGAAUGUUUACGUUGAUUGACAUGAGUGAUGCUCAUGGAUGUUAACAUGAGUGAUGCUCAUGAAUGUUGACAUGAACGAUGGUCAUGAAUGUUUAUGUAUGAUUGACAUAAGUGAUACUCAUGAAUGUUUAUGUAUGAUUGACAUGAGUGAUGCUCAUGUAUAUUUUUUGAAGUAUUGGACGUACUUUUGAUCACCUGGUUAGUGAUAAUAGCGGCAAGCUGCCGAAUAAUUUUGAGGUACUGGACGUACUUCUGAUCACCUGAUUUGUGAUAAUAGCGGCAGGGUGCCGAAUAAAUUUGGAGUACUCGAUGUACUUUUGAUUACCCGGUUGGUGAUAAUAGUGGCAGGGUGUCAAAUAAAUUUGUAGCCAUAGGGUCUGGCUCUUUUGGGCAUAUGGGUCUUGGCCCUCCACAUAACAUUCCAGCCCAUUAUUUUGGGCUUGCUGUUUUUUUUUUUUUUUUACCUUCUGAUAGGGUUAUACAGAUGUCUCCGAAAGAUAAGAAAAAUAACUCACAUCAUUCAAAAAUAAAUCUGACCCUCUGCUCAAUGGGUCACACUCAUAACUCCCUUUUCUGCAUGUCAUUACCACCGCAAUUAUGUCUGCUUCUUUUUAUCUUAUGUUGCUUUCUACUUUUUGUUUCUGCUUUUCUCCAGACAUCAUUUUUCUUUUUCUUACUUUUGCUUUUCUGCUUUUUCUUUUCCACCGCACCUCUUUCUCUGUCUCUGUCUUUGCGCUGCUGUCAUGCAUGUGCUCAGUCAAAUCCCAAUCUCUUAGAUUUUAUUCUCUUCUCUCUUUUUGCUUUCUUCUUUGCAGAUGGCAGACAAAAGUAAAGUUCUUUUCUUUACUUUGCUUUACUUUGCAGAUUGCAGAUGCACUGCCGAACCAAACAGCCGGAGAUCUGGUCGUGGAAACCGUGAAACAAGAACCUGGCAAACGUGUUAGCAACCUCUUUGGAUGCCUCGGUCCUCCUCAACUCGAUCAGUCUCAUACCCACCCAUGCAGUCGACUCAGCUGCUCAACACUCAGUGAUGGUGGCGUCAGAGUGAUUUCGUCCAGCAACUGAGAUCUGCAUAUUAUCUUUCAAGACAUCGAGAUGCGUGAUUACGAGAUGGGUAGCGCCAGCACUGAGCAUUCCCCCAACAGUGCAGAGCCCAUAAUAUGCAAGUGAAAAUAGCAUUCCCCCAACAGUGCAGAGCUCAUUAAUUUCAUCAAAUUGCAGUUGAAAAGGUAACAAAAAGCCUUCACCUUGUCCUAGAGUGAACUUGAAUGGAGUCCCCCCGUCGCGACUCGAAUCGAACUGAGUCCCGUCCAGCAAUGUCCCAGUAUAAUGAACUUCAACUUCAUUGCCAUUAUUGGAAGUGUCCCAGCCUUCCCCUUCCUUUAGGAGCUUCUUCUUCAAUCCUUGGUGGCCGAUCUCCUUCUCCUCACCGACCUUCAGGACUGGCCCCUCGUCGGGGAAAUCAAAGUCCUCGUUCAUAUCCUCCGCCCCUAGCAUAUCGAAGUCCUCGUCCAUUUUCUCGAAAGCGCGAGAUGAAAAAUUCAACGAUUUGAAAGCGUAUUACAAGAUUCUGAGAUUGAAGAAAAUUAGGGAAAAGUGAGAGUGAGGGAGACGAGGCUUUUAUGGUGUUAUUUUUUAGAGUUCUAGAGGCUUCUACAAGGUUGUUGGGCUGCAGCGCGAGGUUUUACUUACAUGCUCCCUUGCCCAAAGGGUGCUUAUUGUCCACUUGCAAAACUCAAUAACGAAUCUGGGAUAUGUGAGCCGUAAGGUCAUAUUCAAGGCCUAAAUUGGGUCGAGUUUUGGAUUUUCAAUGUAGAGUGGAUGAUGAGAGAGAGAGAUCUGCGAAGGUUUUUCCGAAACAGCUCAAUGAGGGAGAUUCUUAGUUUCUGCAAAUUGACGUAGGGGUUUAAUGAAAAAAAAAUGAAAGAGAACCGACAUAGCUUUUCGUGUCGUUUCCCAUAAACGGGGCCAAAUGUUGAUGCACAAAACCGGAGGUCUUGGAACAACGUAAAUCCGACCAAAAAUUUUCCUAGGCCUCCUCUUCUUUGGGCCUAAUAACUUUCAUAACAAAUAUAUAUGAAUGAGGAGUUUCAGGCUACCACUUAGAAAGGAAAAUGGUGAAGUUUUGUUACUUUAGAAACUUGGCUAAUAGCAAGACAUCUCCUUCGUCAACUCCAUCGACUGAAGACUUGGGGGACUCCUACCAUAUGCUACUGCACCUUGAUACUCGGAAGUCUCAUAACCACUCAGUGACUUGGAUUUUUCAAGUCUCCAACCGAAAAGUUUUCCUCACUCUGGAAAUUAAGGGAACACUACCUCAACCUACAUGUUUCACUCACAAAGCUUCAACAUACAAGCUUCAACAAAAGAAAAAAAAUCAAAGAACUUAGAGAAUAAGGCUUUGGUGUAUUUAACACAAUACGUUGAAAUGAAGCAAAGCUUAUUUAUUGAUAUAUCUGAUAAGUUACAAAUAUGUACAUAUACAUGAGUCAAAAUAAACAAACAAGAUGGAGCCUUCACAAAGGUUGCUUAGGAGAAGUCUCAGCAGUCGACAGAGCCUCAGAAAGGGAAGGCACCGAAGGGUGAUCAUUCAGAGCCUCAGUACUGGACAGAACCCCAGAAGGAGGAGGCAUCAGAGGUUGAUCAUUUGGAACUUCAUUACGCAGUACAACCCCAGAAGACGAAGGCAAUAAAUGCCUUUGGAACAAACCCACAAACCUCUGAUGAUCAAGUAAAAUCUGACCAUCAGAUUCCUGCAUUUGGUCAAGCUUCCUCUUCAUGUUUGUAGCAUAGUCAUGUGCGAGCCUGUGCAACUGUUAUUCUCAUACUUGAGCCCUCUAAUAUCCUGUUUGAGACUUAUCACUUCAGCUGCCAAUGAUUCAACCUGGCGGGUUCGAGCAAAUAGGCGUUGGGCCAUAUUAGACACAGAACCUGCACACUGAACACUGAGAGUCAGAGAAUCCUUAACAGCCAACUAAUCAGACCGUUUAGAAAGUAGUCUGUUAUCUUCGGGAGUGAGAAGGUUCCUGACCACCACCGCAGCAGUCAUAUCAUUCUUCAUCACAGAGUCCCCAACGGUAAGAGGACCAGUAGGGGAUAAGAAGGAUGGGCACUAUAUGUUGUCAUGAAGAGGCAUGGCUGCCUCUUCACCAAAGUUCGAGUCAAAACGACGGUCGGAUGAGCCAGACAUUUCUAGAAAUGAUGAAGGAGAAAUAAGGUCCAAUAAAUCUCUGAAGUACGAAAAUAAGGGGGAAAUGCCUACAAGCAAUAACUCUCUGAACGUACUUCUUGCACACAAUUGGUGCCCCUAUAAAAGAAAGGACAACAGGGUCGUUGGUUCAAAAAUCGAAGAGGCACCACUCUUCGGAUUUCAAAGAGGCAUUAUUCUCCACACGCAACAUCAGCUCAUCAGGUACCACAUAUAACUUUACCAAAGAUCUCUGACAAAGUUUAGACACAUAAAUUUUGAAGGUCCAACUACCCUACUAUUACCCACAAAGGUAAAGGAACAACACCACUGCUUGAUAACUGGAAAGUCCCUAUGUGUGUCAACAUCCGUGCUCCGUGGCAAGGCACACUGACAAAAAUGCCCAAUCUUUACUCACAUCGAGAAAACACUCCCAACAUGAUUACUUGCUCAAAAAUCGAAGAGUCACCACUCCCUGAAUCUCGAGAGCCAAACUCUCACCAGGAUUGCUUUCUCAAAAAUGGAAGAGUCACCGCUAUCCAACUCUCGAGAGCCAGACUCACAACAGGGUUACUUUUUCAAAAAUCGAAGAGGCACAGCUUUCCAAAUCUCGAGAGCCAAACUCCCAACAUGAUUUGUUUCUCAAAAAUUAAAGAGGCAUCGCUCUCCGAAUCUCGAAAGCCAGACUCCCAAUAAGAUUGCUUUCUCAAAAAUCGAAGAGGCACCGCUCUCCGAAUCUCGAAAGCCAGACUCCCAAUAAGAUUGCUUUCUCAAAAAUCGAAGAGGCACCACUCUCCGAAUCUCAAGAGCCAGACUCCCAACAAGAUUACUUUCUUAAAAAUCAAAGAGGCACCGUUCUCCGAAUCUCGAGAGUCAGAUCCCCAACUGGAUUGCUUGUUCGAAAACCGAAGAGGCACCACUCUCUAAACUUUGAGAGCCAGAUUUCCUUGGAUAAAGCUUAUCUGCAAUCUUCACAUGCAACAUCAGCUUUCCAGAUACCACAUACCACUUUUUCAAAGUGCUUUGACAAAGUUAAAACACGUGAAUCUUACGGUUCCCACUACAUUGCUAUGACCGAGAAAGGUAAAGGAACAGCGUUACUACUCGCUGUUAGGACAAUUCCUAUAUAUGUCGACCUUCAUCCUCCAUAGCCAGGCAAAGUUGCAAAUAAAAAAAUGCUCAACUUUUCAUCACAUCCGAGAGGGCACUCUCAGUAGAGUCUCUCAAAAUACUCAGCUUAUUUUCCCCUCGAUAAUACCUCUGCAAACAAGCCACACCAGAGCCAGAGUAUCUCAUAUCAUCAGGGUUAAAAGUUAGAGUAUCUCAUAUCAUGUUUUUUCCCUAUCUUUUCCUUUUGCCUUGUUCUUACCUACAAAACAAUGAGAAAGAGAGCAAUCAGUCAGCACUUGGAAUCAAGCUUCCAGUCAGGAACUGACUAUCUGGAGCUCCUUACCUGAUUACUUACUUGGCAUUGCUCUCGAGUACUCAUCUUCAACAUCUUAUGCUUCCAGAAAAGAUACCACAUCUGCCUGAAGAACAGAUAGGGUAAGUGAGAAAGAUACAAGGAAGCAUAUGGAGACAAGCGCAACAGAACACGUGCCGAUUCAUCUAUUACUUUGUCAACAGCAAAAGUAUCUCAUAUCAUCAAGGUCGAACGCACUCUUGAUUUGAUGGACUUGUUUUGACCCUCAAAUUCUUGAGUCGGCCUUAUACUCUUGAGGAAACUAGAAAACCCUUCAGCCCAGUUCAAGAAUAAGCCUGUGGAAAGUUACUUCUUCAAAAGCAAAAGUAUCUUAUAUCAUCUCUUCUCAUUUUUCUUCUAUUUAUCCUUCAUGCUGCCUGCAAGAUAAGGAGAAUGAGAACAAUCAGCCGGAACUCGAAAUCAAACUUCUAAUCUGGGACUGAUUGCUUGGAGCUCUGAUUGAUUACCUUGUCUGUCACCUCUUUUGGCAGAUCUCCUAGCUCGGCGACUUGGGGGACUCCUACUACAUGGUUUGUAUCGCGCUUGACCAAGCCUGAAACUACAAGUAAGCUUCAAGUGAAAUUAAUACAUUACCUUGUGCAUCUUCACCGAUUAAAGAUACCACCCCUGGAUGGAGGAAGAGUACUUCCAGAGAAGAUGCCACAUCUACAUAUGAGACAGAUAAGGCAAGUGAAGACGAUACCACACUUCGGUGCUUAGAAGUUUCGUGAUUACUCAGCGGCUUGGAUCUUGCAAGUCCCCAACCGAGAAGCUUCCCUCAUUCGGGAACUUAGGGGAGCACUGUUUGUACCAUACUUGACCAAUCCCGAAACUACUGAUCACCGGUCAACGUUAUACUAUCAAGGACCCAGAAGAGUUUCCCUACAACCAGGAGGCCAAUCACAGUGCAACACGUGUCGAUAUCAGAAACCAAUCACAGCGCGACACGUGUCAACAUCAGAAGCCAAUCACAACACGACACGUGUCAAUGUCAGAAUAAAGCGAGAAACUCUUCUAUAAAAGGAGAUCAUUCUCCCACAAUAUUUCGUAAUGUCAUUUGUACUAAAUCAUUCACUUGUACUCACUAAAGGAGAGCUUGAACCUAUGUACUUGUGUAAACCUUCACAAUUAAUGAGAACUCCUCUACUCUGUGGACGUAGCCAAUCUGAGUGAACCACGUACAUCUUGUGUUUGUUUCCCUAUCUCUAUCCAUUUACAUACUUAUCCACACUAGUGACCGGAGCAAUCUAGCGAAGGUCACAAACUUAACAUUUUCUGUUGCACCAAAGUCCUCCCUCAUUUUGUGCAUCAACAAAGUCUAUUGAGGCCAUGGUUGGAAUUUUAAAAUUUGGGAACUUUAACGAAAAGCUCCCAGUACUGUUCACUUUAACGAAAUACCACAUUUUUACACUAAAAAGUCAAUUUUGGUACUAUUCAUUUUACCCUUUAUUUUGUCCUUAUCAUUAAAACUCAAAGUUUUCAUGCCCUUUUCAUUAGUUUUCCUUAAAAUUUUGGUUUGCUUGUUUUUGGGUUAGGUUUGUUGAGGUUUGAGUUUUUGUCUCUCCUUGAAAUGAUUCAAAACUAGGGAAGUUCUAUGAAAUGUAUUUUGUGUUUUAGUGUACAAAGAUUUGGUGACCAUGUAUUGCUAAUUUAAAAGUGUGGGGCUAAUGCUGGAGCUCCAUCAUGUUUAUAUGUUUAUGAACUUAGCAGGACUAUGAAUUUGUUGUUUAUCUUUCUCUAGGGUUAGAGAAUGCCUCAUUUCGGCGAUCAAUCCCUCAACCUCAUCGCCCAUAUAUGCCGCAAAGCGAAUGAAGUAGCGCACUUUCUAGCCCGCUCGACACUUCUUUGUAAUGGUUUUUUGGUCUUGGUCUGAAGAACCUCCUGAUCUCUCUUCUGUGUAUAUCUCUUCGACCAUUUGGUCUUUCAAUGAAACACUGCUGAUUUUCAAAAAAAUAAAAAAUAAAUAAAAUUCGGUAAUCGUUGAAGAUUGGAGGUUGCAUUGAGCGUUUCUCACCCUCGACUUUGUCACAUUGAUAUCGCGAUCGCAUACAUUAUCUGACAUGGACGCAGUAUAUAUCAUUGUUGUCGGCGGAAAUAUAGGGGAAACCAUGGCUGUAGCUGUGAAAUCUACUGAAGAAUCAACAAAACAGAAUAAACCUUUAACAAGACAGAGGCAAGUGGUUGUGACAGGAACGAGUGUGGUGACCCUACGCGGUCAUGAUUCUGAUGUUUUCUACAAUAAUUUGCUUGAGGGAGUUCGUGGCAUUAGUCAUUAGUGAGAUAGAAGCUUUUGAUUGCACCCAAUUUCCAGCAGUAGAAGUCAUGGAGACGUUAGAUAAGGCAAAAUGUGUGGUUUUCAUUGGCUCAACAAUGGGUGGCAUGAAGGUAAGCCCAGUGUUCUGUGCCUUAAUAUUAUGUACACUUUUUGCGGAACGUUGAAAGAUCUUUCUACCGGUUUGUCUUCAAUUUGAUGUUUUUAGCAAGCAUGGUUUAUAGUUUGUAAUCCUCCAAAUGUCAUUUUUGGUGGAGAUGCACGAAGACUAGUUUCUCUGAUUUCAGAACUGGACUUGUUUAUGUUCUUUAUCUGUUAAUUUAAGACAGUGUAUCAGUACCACAAAAUCUGAUUUCAGAACUGGAUUUUUUUGUGGAGAUCCGCAAAAUCUGAUUUUGGGACAAGAUCUGAUGUGUUUUUCAUCACUUCAGUCAUGUUUGAUAAAUCCAUUUUGUGUUUUGAUAUUGAAGCUUUACAGUUUUCCUAUAAGAAGGUGAACCCUUUCUCUGUACCUUUGCAACCACAAAUAUGGCUGCCAUGCUCGCAAUGGAUCUUGUGAGAUUAUAAUAUAUUCGAUGCAAUACUCUUACAAUUCGUGAUGGCUGCUGAUUUUGUACUUGUCCUUUUAACUGAUAUUUAUUCUUACACUUGCAGGGUUGGAUGGUCCCAAACUAUUCAACCUCUACUGCUUGUGCUACAAGCAGCUUCUGUACUUUGAAUUCGGCAAAUCAUAUCAUUAAAGCCAAAGCAGUAAGUAUUCCUACAAGCAGCUUCUGUACUUUUAAGUAUAUUAUAAUAACUGAUAUACAAUUUUCUUUGAAAUCUUACGCAGGACCUUAUGCUCUGUGGUGGUUCAGAUUAAGUGAUGAUACCUCUUGGUAUUGCUCCCAUUCUUUGCAAAUGUUAUUUCUUAGUUUUACUUGGAUUUGCACGUACAAUAAUCUUGUUCUUGCAAUUAUUGGAGGAAUGGGAGGCUUUGUGGCAAGCAGAGCACUGACACAAAGAAACAAUGAUCCGACCAAAGCAUCACGCCCUUGGGAUAGUGUAAUGCGUCCAAUAACUAUGCUAGAUUCAUUUAUUCUUUUAUUUCCACUGUGAUGGCUUUGUUAGGAGGGAAGGAGCUGGCGUUUUGCCUCCGGAAGAGUUAGAACAUGCUAUGGUAUUUUCUAAAUCUAUGACCUUGGCAAUGGCAAUUGGGUGUCUGUCUGGAUAUCCUUUUUUUUCUGUUAAGGUUGUAGGUGCAAUGUCUGUAGGGACGUUCUGUAUCCUGUGGUUCCCUCAAGCUCUAUGGUCUCACAAACACGUUUUCUAAUCAUUCAUCUGUAUCUCACUAUGCAAUAUGGUGUUUUUUUUAUUAAUGUCCUUGGAAACAGGGGCCGGGGUUAUUCUCUGCAUUGAAAAGGCUUUAGAACAGUCUGGGAUGUCUAGGGAAGAUGUUAAUUACAUUAAUGUACAUGCUACAUCCACACCGGCCGGAGAUCUCAAGGAGUAUAAUGCACUCAUUCAUUGUUUUGGCCAGAAUCCUGAUGUAACAACAAUACAUUGUUGACUUGUAUUAGGAUUCCUAUAAUUGUGGGAUUCCUACUGUAAUUGGUUUCCUAGUUUAGGAUAUAAUUAUUCUUUCCCUUAUUCUUUCCCAUAUCUGUAUAGGGUUGUAUAUAUACCUUGUUUUGAUAUGAAAUCAAAAUAUAAUUGAAAGGCAUUCUUUCUUCUUGGCACCAGAGCCGGGUUAGAAAAACACUGAACCCUAAUUUUUUUUUUUUCCUGCCGUGUACCUGAUCCAUUGCAGCGAGCAACCUUAGGGUUGUUGCUGCCCGUUCCCUGACUGAUUGCAGCGAGCACCAGAGAAGGUGUUGCUGCCCUGACCGAUUGCAGCGAGCACCAGAUAGGGUGUUGCUGCCCUGUUGAUUUGUCCAACGCGUUCUAGGUCCCAUCACCGCUGCUGUUUUUUUUCUCUGCCUAGUUUGUGUCAGUCAACACCGAAGCAACAGAGAGAUGGCUGAAGAAAAGGGGGCUGGUUCACAGGUUGUUUCAGUGGCUGCUCCAAUUAUGGUGCAGUCAGAGAAUUCAAGCUUUAAUAUUGGUAUGGUUUUGGAUGAAAAGAACUAUGAUUUAUGGGCUCCCCUCAUUCAAAUUCAUAUUGUUGGAAGGAAGAAGAUGGGAUAUCUUCGUGGGUCUAUCAAGGCACCUAGCGAAGACGAUCCUAAAUAUGAUGGUUGGUUUUCUGAAGAUCAAAAAAUUAAGAGUUGGCUUUUGUCUUCAAUGAAGCCCGAGAUUAUGAAACGGUACAUUCGGUUGUCUACAUCGAAGGAGAUUUGGGACUCCUUGAAGGCAGCCUACUUUGAUGAGAAUGACGAGGCUAGAAUUUAUUCGUUGAAUCAGAAGGCAUCCCAACUACGUCAGAAUGGCCGACCCUUAGCUACCUAUUUUGGGGAGCUCACUGAGAUCUUCCAAGAAUUGGAUCACUUUAAUAAAGUAUCCAUGGAGUGUGAGAAUGACAUCAAAGUGUUUCAGAAAUCCACUGAGAGACAACGGGUCUAUGUGUUUCUCGGUGGUCUCGAUGAUGGGUUUGAUCAGGUGCGUGGAGAAGUGCUGCGGAAGGAUCCCCCACUUGGCCUGCAGGCUUCUUAUGCCUAUGUUCGUCGAGAAGCCGAUCGAAAGGAAGCAAUGAAGACAGAGGUUGACAAGGGGGAGUCUGUUGCCAUGGCAGCAAGGGCCCGUGGAUCAUCUAGUGGGUCGAACCGAGAAGGGGUACAAAACCGGCCUGGAUCAACUCAGCCGAGCCAGACAAGCCGGGAUCGUCCACAAGGUAAGUGCCCACACUGUGGCUUAACGGGACACUACAAGAGUCGUUGUUUUGAGCUGAUUGGAUAUCCCGAGAAUUGGGAUAAGACCCGUGAUCCUCGGUGCAACAAAUCUCGAGCCUCCAUUGCUGAAACCAAGAAUGAUUCGGAUCAGAUAGCGGACAAGGCAUCUGCCAUGAUAGCUGCGGCAGGAAGUGAUGGUAAGGCACUCAGUACUUCUACUUCUGUUAUGAAUAAUACAUGGAUAAUUGAUUCCGGAGCUACUGAACAUAUGACUUGUGAUUCUAGACAGGUUCCAUCACUAAAAACAUCCACACAAACCGAGGUCAAUGUUACUAAUGGUAAUGCCGUCCCUGUUAUUGGGGAAGGUGCUGUUUCCCUUUCCGAUACCAUGAAACUUGACACUGUUCUUGUGGUUCCCUCUCUAAAUUAUAAUUUGUUGUCCGUUGCUCAAAUAACCCUUGCCUUACAUUGUUUGGUUAUUUUUUGGCCCUAUUUUUGUGUUUUUAAGGACAUCCAGACGCGGAAGAUGAUUGGUUAUGGUAUUAGAAGAGGGAAACUUUAUUACUUGGAGUUGACCACCAGUAGUUCUAGCUUGCUGACGCAAGCUCUUUCCGUUGAUGAUUCUCAAGGGGUUACUAAUAAAGUGUCAGACAUCUGGAUGUCGCCUUGGGCAUGCUUCCUUUGGUUAUCUGCAUAAGUUAUUUCCUAGUUUGUUUGUCAAGAAUGAUGUUUCUCAGUUUAAGUGUGAUGUUUGUGAAAUGGCUAAGAGUCAUCGAACCUCUUUUCCUCCCAGUUUAAAUAAAAGUACCGUUCCUUUUAUGAUUGUGCAUUCUGAUGUAUGGGGACCGUCAAAAGUAGCCACUCUUGGUGGUGCUCAUUGGUUUGUUACUUUUAUUGAUGAUUGUACCCGCGUGACUUGGGUUAUUUUGUUAAAGUCGAAGAGUGAAGUUAGUUCGGCCUUCCAACGGUUUCAUAAAAUGAUUGUUGUACAAUACAACAGGAAUAUCCAGGUUCUUCGCAAUGACAAUGGGGGAGAAUAUGUUAAUAUGGAACUUCGUUCAUUCUUCGAGUUGCAUGGUAUUGUUCAUCAGACUACGUGUCCGUAUACUCCUCAACAGAAUGGGGUUGCAGAAAGGAAAAAUCGACACUUGUUGGAAAUGGUUCGUGCUUCCCUACUUGUGGCACAUCUGCCGCUCCAUUAUUGGGGAGAGGCACUUACGUCUGCAACUUAUCUUAUUAAUCGCCUUCCAUCUCGGACUCAACUUCCAUACGCCAUUUCAGGCUCUCACAUCUCAGACUAGCAGCCCCCCGACUCCCAAUCUUCCCCCACGGGUCAUCGGAUGUGUUGCGUUUGUUCACCUUCAUCCACCUCAACGGAAGACUAAACUUGAACCUAGAGCUCUUCGUUGUGUUUUUUUGGGGUAUGCUACUACCCAGAAAGGGUAUCGUUGUUAUCAUCCUUCGAGUAAAAAGAUGUUUAUUACUAAAGAUGUGAGUUUUCACAAGACUAAAAUGUUCUUUGGUUCCUCCCCGUCCUCACUUCAGGGGGAGUACCACAAUGAUGAAGUUCUGACUCGCGAUAAUAGGGAUGUGGUGAGCUUGGAGUACACGGCUUCUGGAAGAGGGCAACAACCCACGGUACCUGGAGAAGGGCAGCAGCCAAUGCCCGUGACACCUGGAGAAGGGCAGCAGCCCGUGUUUUCUAGGUUUAGUCCUACCGAGCAGCCUACUGAGGAGCAGCCAACAAGUCAGGAAGAGGAGCAGCCCACGGGUCUCACGGGUAUUGAGUUGGAAGAUGAGAUGCAGCCGCCCAAUUGCCGUGAAACAGAGCAGAAAUUACAGCAUGUGUCACGAGAUACUACUUCUCAUAACCAAUCGUCUUCUACACCGGAUGCACCUCUACUUCGUCGCCUUCCAGAACGCAUUAAUAGAGGUAUUCCCAAACCCACUUAUGAGGCAGAUCCUGAGUGUAAACACAAGUAUUCCAUGAGUGAGCCAAACUCUGAUUCCAGAGUGAGAUACCCAUUAAAUCAUUAUGUGUCUACUUGUCACCUGUCAGAAUCAAAUAAGUCAUUUGUAUAUCAAUUAUCUACUGUAUCUAUUACUAACAGUGUGCAGGAGGCUUUAGCAGAUUCCCGCUAGAAAGAUGCAAUGAACGAGGAAUUUAGAUCGUUGAAGAAGAAUGCUACCUGGGAAAUAACUGACUUGCCAGCCGGAAAGAAAAUAGUGGGAUGCAAAUGGGUUUAUACAGUAAAAUAUAAAGCCGACGGAACGGUAGAUCGCUUUAAAGCAAGAUUGGUGGCAAAGGGGUAUACACAGAAAUAUGGCAUUGAUUACACUGAUACGUUCGCACCAGUGGCAAAGAUCAAUACAGUUCGUGUUCUACUGUCCUUAGCAGCAAAUCUGGAUUGGCCUUUGCAACAGUUCGACGUAAAAAAUGCUUUCCUCCAUGGAGAUCUGACUGAGGAGAUUUACAUGGACCUUCCACCAGGGUGCAGUGAUUCGGACAGACAGAAACAAAAGGUAUGUAGGCUCAAGAAAUCACUGUAUGGAUUAAAGCAGUCUCCGAGAGCCUGGUUUGGUAGAUUUACCAAGUCCAUGAGGGCAUUUGGGUAUAUACAGAGUAAUUGGGAUCACACGUUGUUUCUGAAACACCAGAACGGAAAGGUUACGGCUCUAAUCGUGUAUGUGGAUGAUAUGGUGGUUACUGGUGAUGAUCCUGUUGAGCAAGCAGCCUUGAAAAGUUAUUUGUCCACAGAAUUUGAAAUGAAAGAUCUUGGUCCUUUGAAAUAUUUUCUUGGGAUUGAAGUAUCAAGAUGCAAGUUCGGGAUAUUCCUAUCACAAAGGAAGUAUGUUCUUGACCUGUUGGAAGAAACCAGUAUGACAGCAUGUAAGCCGGUGUCUACUCCGUUGGCCGAAUGAAUGAAGUUGGGUAUAGAUCAGAACCAAGUACCGGUUGAUAAAGGGAGGUAUCAAAGGUUAGUAGGAAGAUUAAUGUACUUGGCUCACACUAGGCAUGAUCUUGCUCAUGCCUUAAGUGUGAUUAGUCAAUAUAUGCACAAUCCAGGAGAACAACAUAUGAGUGCAGUUAUGAGAAUAUUGAGUUACUUAAAGGGGAGCCCUGGUAAAGGAAUUUUAUUUCGGAAAAAUGAGCAUUUCAGAAUUGAGUGCUAUACGGAUGCUGAUUGGGCAGGAUCGACGGAUGAUAGACGCUCGACAUCUGGGUAUUUCACCUUUGUUGGGGGAAAUCUAGUAACGUGGAGAAGCAAGAAGCAGAAUGUCGUAUCAAGGUCAAGUGCAGAAGCCGAAUUUAGAGGCAUGGCACUCGGUAUUUGUGAACUCUUGUGGCUUAAGUUUCUGUUGCAAGAUGUGGGGGUCAAACAAGGUCUGCCUAUGAAGUUAUUCUGUGACAAUAAAGCUGCACGGGAUAUUGCUCAUAAUCCUGUGCAACAUGAUCGGACCAAGCAUGUAGAGGUGAUCGGUUCUUUAUUAAAGAGAAGCUAGAUAGUAAAGUAAUUGAGGUUUCUCCCAUAGGAACGGAUGACCAAGUAGCAGAUAUUCUCACAAAGGCGGUUUCUAGUAACAAGUUCUCCAAAUUUCUAGACAAGUUGGGCAUGUGCAACAUCUAUGCACCAACUUGAGGGGGAGUGUUGACUUGUAUUAGGAUUCCUAUAAUUGUGGGAUUCCUACUGUAAUUGGUUUCCUAGUUUAGGAUAUUAUUAUUCUUUCCCUUAUUCUUUCCCAUAUCUGUAUAGGGUUGUAUAUAUACCUUGUUUUGAUAUGAAAUCAAAAUAUAAUUUAAAGGCAUUCUUUCUUCUUACAUAACAUGCAUUUUCUGUUUUCUUAAUUCCUGUAUUUCCAGUUGAGAGUGAACUCUACAAAAUCCAUGAUUGGUCACCUACUGGGAGCAUCUGGUGCUGUAGAAGCUGUUGCAGCAGUACAGGUAACUUACGUGAUGUUUUUUACUUGGAAAAACUGUACUAUUUUUAGACCUUAUAUGUAAGACCAAAUACAAUUCUUGUUUGUUUGGCUUGAAGUGUAGUUCUUGACAUGUUAUCUUCUUUUUGGGUAGGCGAUAAGAACUGGGUGGAUACAUCCAAAUAUUAAUCUGGAAAGCCCAGAUGAGGGCGUGGUACGUUGUCUUCCGUUCCCUUGUAACCCUUUUCUGGUAUAUAAUGUCCAAUGAAAGUGUAUUUGGAAUCCUCUAACUCUGUCAGCACAUGAAUGCAGGAUACAAAACUACUGGUGGGUCCAAAGAAAGAGAGACUGGACGUUAAGGUGGCAUUGUCUAACUCAUUUGGGUUCGGUGGCCACAACUCAUCGGUCUUGUUUGCCCCUUACAAGUAGAAACAUAGAUCUCAGUGUGCUACUCCAACCUUUGAUGCAAUCGUACUGCAGGUAUGUUUGCAUACUGCCACCUUUUUAUUAGAAAUAAGAAAGAAUUGUAAUAUGUAAACAAAUGAAGCAAAGUGUCGGGAUUGCUACUCUGUCCGAGAGUUAAUAUCUUUCAACUUGAAAUCAACAUAGUAGAACAGUUACGAGCACUGUCACAUAUUUCUUCAACAAUGAAAUCAAUGAUCUUUCUUUCGCCGGAUGGGAAAUUCAGUCGGAGUGUUACGUGGAUAAAACGUCGUGAGCCUUUGGGAAGUGGGUCUUAUGGGACUGUGUAUGAAGGCUUAACUGAGUAAGUGGUCAUCUUCCACAUCCAACAACAACAACAACAACAAAGCCUUUUCCCAUUAAGUGGGGUCGGCUAUAUGAAUCCUAGAACGCCAUUGCGCUCGGUUUUGUGUCAUGUCCUCCGUUAGAUCCAAGUACUCAAGUCUUUUCUUAGGGUCUCUUCCAAAGUUUUCCUAGGUCUUCCUCUACCCCUUCGGCCCUGAACCUCUGUCCCGUAGUUACAUUUUCGAACCGGAGCGUCAGUAGGCCUUCUUUGCACAUGUCCAAACCACCGGAACCGAUUUUCUCUCAUAUUUCCUUCAAUUUUGGCUACUCCUACUUUACCUCGGAUAUCCUCAUUCCCAAUCUUAUCCUUUCUCGUGUGCCCAUACAUCCCACGAAGCAUCCUCAUCUCCGCUACACCCAUUUUGUGUACGUGUUGAUGCUUCACCGCCCAACAUUCUGUGCCAUACAACAUCGCUUGGCCUUAUUGCCGUCCUAUAAAAUUUUCCCUUGAGCUUCAGUGGCCUACGACGGUCACACAACACGCCGGAUGCACUCUUACACUUCAUCCAUCCAGCUUGUAUUCUAUGGUUGAGAUCUCCAUCUAAUUCUCCGUUCUCUUGCAAGAUAGAUCCUAGGUAGCGAAAAACGGUCACUUUUUGUGAUCUUCGCUAGAUUGCUCCGGUCAUUAGUGUGGAUAAGUAUAUAAAUGGAUAGAGAUAGGAAAGCAAACACAAGAUGUACGUGGUUCACCCAGAUUGGCUACGUCCACGGAAUAGAGGAGUUCUCAUUAAUUGUGAAGGGUUUACACAAGUACAUAGGUUCAAGCUCUCCUUUAGUGAGUACAAGUGAAUGAUUUAGUACAAAUGACAUUAGGAAAUAUUGUGGGAGAAUGAUCUCGUAACCACGAAACUUCUAAGUACCGGAGUGUGGUAUCGUCUUGACUUGCCUUAUCUGUCUCAUAGGUAGAUGUGGCAUCUUCUCUGGAAGUACUCUUCCUCCAUCCAGGGGUGGUAUCUGUAACUGGUGGAGAUGCACAAGGUAAUGUAUCAAUUUCACUUGAAGCUUACUUGUAGUUUCAGGCUUGGUCAAGCGCGAUACAAACCAUGUAGUAGGAGUCCCCCAAGUCGCCGAGCUAGGGGAUCUGCUGAAAGAGGUGACAGACAAGGUAAGCAAUCAGAGCUCCGGCUGAUUGUUCACAUUCUCCCUAUCUUGCAGGCAGCAUGAAGGAUAAAGAGAAGAAAAAAUGAGAAGAGAUGAUAUGGGAUACUUUUGCUUUUGAAGAAGUAACUUUCCACAGGCUUAUUCUUGAACUGGGCUGGAGGGUUUUCUGGUUUCCUCCAGAGUAUAAGGCCGACUGAAGAAUUUGAGGGUCAAAACAAGUCCAUCAAAUCUAGAGUACGUUCGACCCUGCUGAUAUGGGAUACUUUUGCUUUUGACAGAGUAGUGGAUGUAUCGGCACGUGUGCUGUUACGCUUGUCUCCACAUGCUUCCUUGUAUCCUUCUCACUUGCCCUAUCUGUUCCUCAGGCAGAUGCGGUAUCUUCCCUGGAAGCAUAAGAUGUUGAAGAUGAGUACUCGAGAGCAAUGCCAGGUAAGUAAUCAGGUAAGGGGUUCCAGGCAGUCAGUUCCUGGCUGGAAGCUUGAUUCCAAGUGCUGACUGAUUGCUCUCUUUCUCCUUGUCUUGCAGGUAAGAACAAGGCCAAAGGAAAAGACAGGGAAAAAGCAUGAUAUGGGAUACUCUUGCUUUUAACCCUGAUGAUAUGAGAUAUUCUUGCUCUAGUAUAGCUUGUUUACAGAGGUAUUAUCGGGGGGAAAGAAAGCUGAAUAUUUCGAAAGGCUUCGUUGGGAGUGCCCUCUCAGAUAAGAGAAAGGGUUGAGCAUUUUUGCAGGUCUGCCUGUCCGUUAGGGAUGGAGGUCGACAUAUAUAGGAGUCUCCCUAACAUCAAGUAAUAAUGCUAUUCCUUUACCCUGCUUGGUCAUAGCACGGUAGUGGGAGCUGCCAGCUUCACAUGUUUUAACUCUGUCAGAGCACUUUGAAAAAGUGGUCUGUGGUAUCUGGAAAGCUGAUGUUGCGUGUGAAGAUUACAGACAAGCUUUAUCCAAGGAGAUCCAGCUCUUGAAGUUGGGAAAGUGGUGCCUCUUCGAUUUUUCGAACAAGCAAUCCUGUCGGGGAUCUGGCUCUCGAGAUUCGGAGAACGAUGCCUCUUCGAUUUUUGAGAAAGCAAUCCUGCUGGGGGUCUGGCUCUCGAGAUUCGGAGAGCGGUGUCUCUUCGAUUUUUGAGAAAGUAAUCAUGUUGGGAGUCUGGCUCUCGAGAUUCGGAGGGCGGUGCCUCUUCGAUUUUGGAGCAAGCAAUCUUGUUGGGAGUGUUUUCUCGAAUGUGAGUAAAGGUUGGGCAUGUUUGCUAGUCUACCUUGCCACGAAGCACAGAGGUUGACACACAGGGACUUUCCAAUUAUCCAGCAGUGGUACUGUUCCUUUACCCUCUCUUCGAUUUUUGAGAAAGUAAUCAUGUUGGGAGUCUGGCUCUCGAGAUUCGGAGGGCGGUGCCUCUUCGAUUUUGGAGCAAGCAAUCUUGUUGGGAGUGUUUUCUCGAAUGUGAGUAAAGGUUGGGCAUGUUUGCUAGUCUACCUUGCCACGAAGCACAAAGGUUGACACACAGGGACUUUCCAAUUAUCCAGCAGUGGUACUGUUCCUUUACCCUCUCUUCGAUUUUUGAGAAAGUAAUCAUGUUGGGAGUCUGGCUCUCGAGAUUCGGAGGGCGGUGCCUCUUCGAUUUUGGAGCAAGCAAUCUUGUUGGGAGUGUUUUCUCGAAUGUGAGUAAAGGUUGGGCAUGUUUGCUAGUCUACCUUGCCACGAAGCACAGAGGUUGACACACCGGGACUUUCCAAUUAUCCAGCAGUGGUACUGUUCCUUUACCCUUGUGGGUAAUAAUAUGGUAGCUAGACCUUCAAAAUUUAUGUGUCUAAACUUUGUUAGUGUUGUUUCUUUGCUAAUUCUUUUACCCUUCUUGGUCAGAGCGAUGUAGUGGGAGCUGCAAGCUUCACGUGUCUCAACUUUGUCAGAGAACUUUGGCAAAGUUAUCUGUGGUACCCAUGAGCUACUGUUGCGUGUGGGAAGUGGGUGAUUGAACAGUACGAUUCAUGUGCUUUCUACUUCGCCAGAAAUCUUCGACAGAAUGCCCAUAAUUUCCGCAAAGCUGAGUGUGCGUGUGACAGGUGCUGACAAGGCUGGAAAAGUAGGUGCCUCUUCGAUUUCUGAGAUCGGCCCUCUCGUGGUCUCUGAGCAGCCCAGCUUUUGAGAAAGCAAGCCUCUUCGAUUUCUGAGAUCGGCCUUCGUGGUCUUUGAGCAGCCCAGCUUUUGAGAAAGCAAACGCCUCUUCGAUUUCUGAGAUCGACCCUCGUGGUCUCUCUGAGCAGCCCAGCUUUUGAGAAAGCAAACGCCUCUUCGAUUUCUGAGCAGGCGCCUCUUCGAUUUCUGAAGCUUCGUCGAGUGCAGAUUUUUAUAGGGGCUGACAUUAAGUUCCAAAGCACACUUGAAUAUCCACCAGUAGAAGCUCCAUUCUUGCACUUCUAAGAUCUUGAUUUGUCCGACCUCUUCUCUCUUCAACACCUUUGAAAAUGUCUGGCCCCUCCGACCGUCGUUUUGACUUGAACCUUGUUGAAGAGGCAGCCCCGCCUUCUCCAGACAACAUAUGGCGCCCAUCCUUCGUCUCCCCUACUGGUCCUCUUACCGUUGGGGAUUCCGUGAUGAAGAAUGAUAUGACCGCUGCGGUAGUGGCCAGGAACCUUCUCACUCCCAAAGAUAACAGACUACUUUCCAAACGGUCUGAUGAGUUGGCUGUUAAGGAUUCUCUGGCUCUCAGUGUUCAGUGUGCAGGUUCUGUGUCUAAUAUGGCCCAACGCCUAUUUGCUCGAACCCGCCAAGUUGAAUCAUUGGCGGCUGAAGUGAUGAGUCUCAAACAGGAGAUUAGAGGGCUCAAGCAUGAGAAUAAACAGUUGCACCGGCUCGCACAUGACUAUGCUACAAACAUGAAGAGGAAGCUUGACCAGAUGAAGGAAUCUGAUGGUCAGGUUUUACUUGAUCAUCAGAGAUUUGUGGGUUUGUUCCAAAGGCAUUUAUUGCCUUCGUCUUCUGGGGCUGUACCGCGUAAUGAAGCUCCAAAUGAUCAACCUCUGAUGCCUCCUCCUUCUAGGGUUCUGUCCAGUACUGAGGCUCCGAAUGAUCCCCCUCCGGUGCCUUCUCUUUCUGGGGCUCUACCGACUGCUGAGACUUCUCCUAAGCAACCUUUGUGAAGGCUCCCUCUUGUUUGUUUAUUUUGACUCAAGUAUAUGUACAUAUUUGUAACUUAUCGGGGAUAUCAAUAAAUAAGCUUUCCUUCAUUUCAACGUAUUGUGUUAAAUACACCAAAGCCUUCUUCGCUAAGUUCUUUGAAUUUUCUUUUGUUGAAGCUUGUAUGUUGAAGCUUUGUGAGUGGAGCAUGUAGGUUGAGGUAGUGUUCCCUUAAUUUCCCGAGUGAGGAAAACUUCUCGGUUGGAGACUUGGAAAAUCCAAGUCACUGAGUGGGAUCGGCUAUAUGAAUCUUAGAACGCCAUUGUGUUCUGUCCUGUGUCAUGUCCUCCGUUAGAUCCAAGUACUCUAAGUCUUUUCUUAGGGUCUCUUCCAAAGUUUUCCUAGGUCUUCCUCUACCCCUUCGGCCCUGAACCUCUGUCCCAUAGUCGCAUCUUCUAAUCGGAGCGUCAGUAGGCCUUCUUUGCACAUGUCCAAACCACCGUAACCGAUUUUCUCUCAUCUUUCCUUCAAUUUCGGCUACUCCUACUUUACCCCGGAUAUCCUCAUUCCUAAUCUUAUCCUUUCUCGUGUGCCCACACAUCCAACGAAGCAUCCUCAUCUCCGCUACACCCAUUUUGUGUACGUGUUGAUGCUUCACCGCCCAACAUUCUGUGCCAUACAGCAUCGCCGGCCUUAUUGCCGUCCUAUAAAAUUUUCCCUUGAGCUUCAGUGGCAUACGGCGGUCACACAACACGCCGGAUGCACUCUUCCACUUCAUCCAUCCAGCUUGUAUUCUAUGGUUGAGAUCUCCAUCUAAUUCUCCGUUCUUUUGCAAGAUAGAUCCUAGGUAACGAAAACGGUCGCUCUUUGGUAUUUCUUGAUCUCCGAUCCUCACCCCUAACUCGUUUUGGCCUCCAUUUGCACUGAACUUGCACUCCAUAUAUUCUGUCUUUGAUCGGCUUAGGCGAAGACCUUUAGAUUCCAACACUUCUCUCCAAAGGUUAAGCUUUGCAUUUACCCCUUCCUGAGUUUCAUCUAUCAACACUAUAUCGUCUGCGAAAAGCAUACACCAAGGAAUAUCAUCUUGAAUAUGUCCUGUUAACUCAUCCAUUACCAACGCAAAAAGGUAAGGACUUAAGGAUGAGCCUUGAUGUAAUCCUACAGUUAUGGGAAAGCUUUCGGUUUGUCCUUCAUGAGUUCUUACGGCAGUCUUUGCUCCUUCAUACAUAUCCUGUUAUAGCUUGGAUAUAUGCUACUCGUACUCCUUUCUUCUCUAAAAUCCUCCAAAGAAUGUCUCUUGGGACCCUAUCAUACGCUUUUUCCAAAUCUAUAAAGACCAUGUGUAAAUCCUUUUUUCCCAUCUCUAUAUCUUUCCAUCAAUCUUCGUAAGAGAUAGAUUGCCUCCAUGGUUGAGCGCCCUGGCAUGAACCCGAAUUGGUUGUCCGAAACCCGUGUCUCUUGCCUCAAUCUAUGCUCAAUGACUCUCUCCCAGAGCUUCAUUGUAUGACUCAUUAGCUUAAUACCCCUAUAGUUCAUGCAAUUUUGUACAUCGCCCUUAUUCUUGUAGAUAGGCACCAAAGUGCUCGUUUCGCCACUCAUUUGGCAUCUUCUUCGUUUUCAAAAUCCUAUUGAAAAGGUCAGUGAGCCAUGUUAUACCUGUCUCUCCCAAAACUUUCCACACUUCGAUUGGUAUAUCGUCUGGGCCUACUGCUUUUCUAUGCUUCAUCUUCUUCAAAGCUACAACCACUUCUUCCUUCCGGAUUCUACGAUAAAAAGAGUAGUUUCUACACUCUUCUGAGUUACUCAACUCCCCUAAAGAAGCACUCCUUUCAUGUCCUUCAUUGAAAAGAUUAUGAAAAUAACCUUCCAUCUGUCUUUAACCGCGUUCUCUGUAGCAAGAACCUUUCCAUCCUCAUCCUUGAUGCACCUCACUUGGUUUAGGUCCCUUGUCUUCUUUUCCCUUGCUCUAGCUAGUUUAUAGAUAUCCAACUCUCCUUCUUUGGUAUCUAGUCGCUUAUACAUAUCGUCAUAAGCCGCUAACUUAGCUUCUCUCACAGCUUUCUUCGCCUCUUGCUUCGCUUUUCUAUACCUUUCACCAUUUUCAUCGGUCCUAUCCUUGUAUAAGGCUUUACAACAUUCCUUCUUAGCCUUCACCUUUGUUUGUACCUCCUCAUUCCACCACCAAGAUUCCUUUUGGUGUGGGGCAAAGCCCUUGGACUCUCCUAAUACCUCUUUUGCUACUUUUCGGAUACAACUAGCCAUGGAAUCCCACAUUUGGUUAGCUUCCCCCUCUCUAUCCCACACACACACUGGGUGAUUACUUUCUCUUUGAAAAUGGCUUGUUUUUCUUCUUUUAGAUUCCACCAUCUAGUCCUUGGGCACUUCCAAGUCUUGUUCUUUUUUCUCACUCUUUUGAUAUGUACAUCCAUCACCAACAAGCGAUGUUGAUUAGCCACGCUCUCUCCUGGUAUAACUUUGCAAUCCUUACAAGUUAUACGAUCCCCUUUCCUCAUUAGAAGAAAAUCUAUUUGUGUUUUUGACGACCCACUCUUGUAGGUGAUCACAUGUUCUUCUCUCUUCUUAAAGAAGGUGUUGGCUAAGAAGAGAUCAUAUGCCAUUGCAAAAUCCAAGAUAGCUUCCCCAUCCUCGUUUCUCUCCCCAAAACCAUGGCCACCAUGAAAACCUCCAUAGUUGCCUGUCUCCCUGCCCACGUGUCCAUUUAAAUCUCCUCCUAUAAAUAACUUCUCCGUCUGAGCAAUUCCUUGCACCAAGUCUCCAAGGUCUUCCCAAAAUUUCUCCUUCGAACUCGUAUCCAACCCUACUUAAGGUGCGUACGCACUAAUCACAUUGAUAAGUUCUUGUCCUAUUACAAUCUUGAUUGCCAUGAUUCUAUCUCCUACCCUCUUGACAUCUACAACAUCUUGUGUCAAGGUCUUGUCCACGAUGAUGCCAACACCGUUUCUCGUUCUAUUUGUGCCCGAAUACCAUAGUUUAAACCCUGUGUGAAUUAAACCCAAUCUGAACAGGACUUGUGAAUUUUAUAUUGUUGGGUUUUACAGCUCAAAAUUAGGAUGAUGCAAAAAAUUAGGUUUGUGUUACCUAUUUGAGUUUGGAUUUUGACUUCUUAGUUGGUUUCCUUGGUGGAGAGAUUUUGUUAAUUACCUAUUUUAUUAGGAUUUGUAUUUACUUCCUAUUAGGAUUCUUAUUGUAACUUAAGUCCUAUGCACUAUAAAUAGGACACCAAGACUACCACCACUUUCAUAACUAGAGGGACCACCAUUCAUGGUUAUAUGAUCUCAUUUCUAAUUUUAUAGUUUAGUGUACUGCUAUCCAUUUACUCACUUCUUUCUUUUUAAUCUUUUGCAUAAUGUAUCCAUAAAACUUUGAGGUAGUCUGGAAAACCUUUAUCCCUACCAUUUCCUAGUUUUGUUUUUCAUAGUGUAAGCAUUCCAUUCUACUUUAGGUGUUUCCACUCAAAGUGUUUGGAAUUUUCUUAGCAAGAAAUUGUAAGGUUAGAAAAAGGAUGGAGAACGUGAAGUUGGUAUUGCAUUAAACUGGGCCUAUUCUGUUCAACAAAAUUAACAUGUUGGUCUCACUCUCUCUGUUUAUCUCAUGCUGCAAAUGUUCUUUUGCAGUGAUAAAGUAGCUUGCUAUAUUUCAAUAUAAUUUAAUAUAUUUAUUCAACUCUCCUGAUUUGUACACUUAGUUGCUCAUUGUAAUAUUAUUACAGGAUGAAACUAAGCUCUAUAUCUUCCUUGAGCUUGUAACAAAAGGCUCACUUGCAAAGUUAUAUCAAAACUAUAACUUAAAGGAUUCUCAAGUCUCUGGGUAUACAAGGCAGAUUCUAAGCGGGUUGACAUAUCUUCAUGAACGUGGCGUGGUUCACAGGUAAUGUCCUUUUGGUACUGGAAUUUUUGUAUUGUGAUUUUUCUGUCUUUUGUGGUUACACUGGAAGAGAUUGAACCAUUGACCUAUACUAAUCUUAGGGGACAAAACUGUGAACAACUAGUAGAACAAACUAUAAGGGAGGGUUUGAAAAAUGGGUGAGGGUCUUCCAAAUUCCAAGGCAUUUAGGCAAAAUAAAGAGGAAAUGGAUCACAAAAUGUUUGGUAGGAGGAAUUAGAAAUGCAUUACAAAAGACAUAAUAGAGGAAUUGCAAAUGACUAUUUGAAAUAUUUUAUAUAGGUAUCAUACACACGAAAAUUUACAAGGAAUAGAGGGACCGGAACAACAUACUUGUCUGUAAUUAAAGUACAACGUAUAGGCCCCAACAAAGAUAAGAUACAACUACGUAAAAAAUAACGAACCAAACAAUCCUUGUUUAACCUACAUUUUUAUAAUUCCCCUGGACAUAUUUUUUCUGCUUUCUAGACUUACGUGUUGCUUAUAUUGAUAUUGAACUUGUAGAAGUUUAAAAUUUGUUUUUAUUAUCUAUAUUUAUGAGAUUAUUUUUUCCAGGGAUAUCAAAUGUGCUAAUAUAUUGGUGCAUGCAAGUGGAUCUGUGAAACUUGCAGACUUUGGGUUAGCCAAGGUACAAUUCCUAAAUGUAUAUUCAUAGAAUUUCCAAUGCUGAAUCAUUCCUUAUUGGCAUUCUGUCUUUCUAGGUGACCAAAUUGAAUGAAUUGAAGUCUUCCAAAGGGACUGCUUAUUGGAUGGCCCCUGAGGUUUGCCUCCUCUCUUUACAGUAAAUGUGUGUUUGUACACAUCGGAUUGAUAUCUCAACAGCUGCCUUUACAUAGUAAUACUAGUAUGAUGUGGAGUAAUUCAUCUAGUUGUGAUUAUCCACGUAGUUAACUCUUUGAUGUACACAACUUAAUUUUCAUCAUUUACCUUGCAAUAGUAUAAUUGGGAAUAAGUUGCUCCGAGCAUGUUGUUCCAGUACGCUGUAAAAUUGUAGGUUGUUAAUCAAAUGAAUGGUGGCUAUGGGCUUGCAGCUGACAUAUGGAGCCUUGGAUGCACUGUGUUAGAGAUGUUAACCCGCCAGCCUCCGUACUUUCCCCUGGAAUGGGUAUGUUCAACAUUUCUGCACAUAUAAUGCUAAUCUUUUACUUUUUCUUUAGGAUAAGAAAUGCAUAAAAAUAUGCCCACAUCACAUUUUGACCUAGAUCAUUGGACGUAGGAGCCAACCUCAUCCCACACAUCCCCCACCGUGUGAUUGUACCUGGAUCAUCUUACUUGUACUCAGCCUUGUGCUACCUAUUCACAAUAUGUUAUUUACUCUUCCAUGCAAGUAACUAGAAUCCUUAAUCAAGAGUCAUGGACCUAUGUUUACCCCUUAACCUGUAUCCGGCUAUUUCUUCUCAGACAUCAGUGACCACUAGCACUAGGGUAACCUUAGUUUUCUUAAUCAAUUUGGACCGUCACUCAUGCGAGAAGGCUAAGACAUUUUAUAGACGCGGCAGAUCACUAAGUUGUCGCCUCUAGAGUCAUUUAGGAAUCUGACAAGAAUCUUAUUCUUGUUUGUGAUGAUUGGCAGAUAGCAGCAUUAUUUCAGAUUAGCAUGGAUAAACUUCCUCCAGUUCCUAAUUCGUUAUCAAGAGAUGCAAAAGAUUUCAUUUUGAAGUGUUUACAAGUUGACCCUAAUAGCCGACCCACAGCGGCUCAGCUAUUGAACCAUCCAUUUGUUGAAAGGCCACUCCACGCUUCCUCUGUCCCAGCUUCUCAUUGCAACAGUUUACGUUCGUGAAUGCUUUGGUCAACCAACCUUCAGUGAUAUUGUUAGGUAAUAUAGAGGAACUGGUUAGUGAUUGGAUCUAUAUACGCUCUCAAGCCAUGGUAGAACAUUAGCUUCCACGAACGUGGUUUGGGGAAGGGGAUAUGCUUCCAAUAUUUUCACAAAGAUGAGAAUGGUUUGCUAAUCAAACGAAGCACCUCUUGGUCCUUGUGUGUGGAUCUGCACUACUAGGGACGUGACGGACCAGAGAAACUUAAAAGCACGUUUUGUAGAUUAUGGACUUUGCUGUAAAAUACGUUUUGUAAACCUCCUGAUGGAUAUAACUCAAUCGAAUAUGAGACUCGGUGGAUCUGUUUGAUAACUAUUUUGUUUUAGUUUUCUUGUUAAAAAUAGAGGGGCAAGAUCUAAACAAGACCUGAAACUUGAACCUCAUUCUCAUGUUAGAUUAAAAAUAGAAUAAAAGCCCAAAGUUCAUCUUAUUGAUGAUUUUCUAAGGGGUAUAUAAUCUGAUUAGUAUAACUCAUGAGAACAGUAACAAACAAAGAUAUCCAAUUCGAUGAAAUAUAUGGCAUAAACUUUGUACAUACUGUAAAUACGGCUCUCAUACAAUACUCGUUUGGAAACACGUCACUCUAAGAAACUUAGAAUACCAUCUGAUUAGUAGAACUAAUCAAAAUUGUAACAAAGCUCAAAUGAUAAAAUGAAGAUGGCAGUUAAUUAUCUAUCAGAUGAAAUCACGGUACUUUCAGCAUGAGAGUAUAAAACCGGUAAGCAGCUGUUUCUGAGACAUUUAGACUGCACAUAUUCUUUGUACUUGGAGACUGAAUCCAUUAGCGAACUUCUGAGUUUCUUCUUCUGUUUGUUUGAUUGCAUCCUGCAAUUUCGGUUUGGAGGUCUGCAAGAAAAAUGAGAUUGGUUAUGAUAUCAAACUUAACAAAAUCCUAGUUAAGGAUUUUCAUAUGGCAUAACAAAUUAAUCACUAUAACACGUUUAAGAAUAAAAAAAACAACUUGAAGUUAAUUAUUCAAGAAAUAAGUCAAACAAAAACCUUCAGAAUCUUGUCUGCUUCUCCUUCCACAGUAUCCAAGUUACGAGUCUGCCUUUGAACAUCUGGAAUUGUAGUCCUGUGUCUCUUUCUUCAACAAGUUCAGUUGAGCUUCAACUAACGGGUGAAUUAUACACAAGUAAAAGAUAAGGUCAAAACAAAAUCCUUGUAAAAUUGUAUUUCUUUCUCAAAGUCCAAACCAUACCGGAGCAAUAACCAUAAGAUGCUUCAAAAGUAAGGGUGGUUUCCAAAAGUCCCACCAUAGGAUCAAUAACCUUUACAGUCGAUAUUUUACUUUGUAUGACAUACACCAGAGCCCUCCAAAACUAAUGUGCUCCCUCAGGCUGCAUUUAUUUUGCCUGCCACCGUUGAAACUUCUGAAACCAGAUUGGUUUCCUCAAGCGGUUCAUGUUUUUUGGGGUCUUUCUCCAAACAUGAAGCAUAAUAGGUUUGCCGUCAUCCAAAAGCAACCUUUAUGUAGUUUGUGUUCGAAAAGCAACCUAUGCACUAUAAAUAGGACACCAAGACUACCACCACUUUCAUAACUAGAGGGACCACCAUUCACGGUUAUAUGAUUCUCAUUUCUAAAUUCCUAGUUUAGUGUACUGCUAUCCAUUUACGCACUUCUUUCUUUCUUUCCUGGUUUGCAUUUCUAUUUGGUUCCGGCCAGUUUAUUAGAAGUACAACUUUCUACAUAUUGAGGGAGAUUUAUCUUUUCCUUUUGCAUUUGUUCUUGUUUUUUGUAGUUUGUGCAUAGGUAUUUGUCCUUGUAUGUGUGUACAACUGUACAUGUAUUUGUACAACCAUAAAACAAUAAAUUAAAGAGAUGACCAAUGCAACUACUCAAGCUGCAAUCAUAAGAUAAAAGUAGCUUGCUAUAUUUCAAUAUAAUUUAAUAUAUUUAUUCAACUCUCCUGAUUUGUACACUUAGUUGCUCAUUGUAAUAUUAUUACAGGAUGAAACUAAGAUCUAUAUCUUCCUUGAGCUUGUAACAAAAGGCACACUUGCAAAGCUAUAUCAAAACUAUAACUUAAACGAUUCUCAAGUCUCUGGGUAUACAAGGCAGAUUCUAAGGGGGUUGACAUAUCUUCAUGAACGUGGCGUGGUUCACAGGUAAUGUACUUCAUGAAAGGAAAAUGGCAUUUAUCAUAAUUUCCUUACUAUAGCAUUAUCACUAGCAGGAGCCGUCAUCCAACGAUCAUCGCAUUACAUGGUGAACAAUCAUCAAAUUUUCAUCACGUAAUCCAUGCAACUGAAUUCUAAACAUAUAACUAAAGCGUAAAACUUGAAGUUCAUGCAUGAAAGAAAUUAAGAGCUUCAGCUAACUAACCAAACAAUAAAUGGAUAAACUGUAGUAAAGAUCAAAACCAGCAAUUUAAGCAAAAGAAAAUCUCAAGGAUUGAAAUAGGUGGUGCUCACAGGUCAUUUGGCUUCGGCAGCCUCCAAUUCUUCCCUGACCUUAUCAAACAUGGAAAGCAUCAAAGAACGCAUGUUGGCAAUCUCUACAAGUGCGUCAAGUGCAGAUUCAAAUGAGAGUUGUGCUGCCCGUAGCUUCGGCGAAACCAAACCACCAAACAUCAACAGUGAUUUAGUCCGCUCCUUCUGAAGUUGAUGUUGGUGAGCAGUUUCAGCUUUAAGUGGGGGUGGAGGUCCAUCCUUAUCCUUUCGUUGUCGUAUCUGUGGACUCAUAUUCAUAAGUGGAGCUCCAUUGUCAUUGUCGGAGGAUGCCCAUUUGCGCAAUGUAAAAUGAUGAAUUUGCUCUGUUUCAGUAUCAGAUUGCUGGGUUACUUGCAGAAAUGUACUUGCAUUGUGCGAUUUCAGGUCCAACAAAGCACUGCUCACGCAUGACUCACCCAUAGAAUGUCGAGCACUUGCUAAUUGCAACCACCCCUGUUAGUGUUAUCCCUAUUCCAUGUUAGUAUAACAAUUUAAAUUAAAAGUAUACAAAUAAAAAUAGUAUGAUUUAAGCUAAUUUUACCUGCCGAAGUGUCCAGGACAGUGAAUCCAAUAGGGUUAAAUACCCGUCUAUUGAAUCCAGGAAUUGCAAUGAAUUUUCAUUCAAUUCAGAGAAUGCAAUUUUAUCUCGUCCUUCCAAGCUCAGUGAUUUAGGGUCUUCUUCCAAGCUGAGUGAUUUAGGGUUUUCUUCCAAGCUGAGUAAUUUAGGGUUUUCUUCCAAGCUGAGUGAUUUAGGGUCUUCUUUCAAGCUCUGGGAUUUAGAGUCUCCUUCCACAUUCUGCGAUUUAUAGUCUUCUUUCAAGCUCUGUGAUUUAGGGCCUCCUUUUUCCAAGCUCUGUAAUUUAGGUUCUUUCAAGCUGUGCGGUGUGGGGUCUUCUUCUAAGCUCUGUGACAUAGAGCCUUCUUUCAAGCUCGGGGCGUUAUUGGCUUGUUCUUCCAAGCUUUGUGAUUUAGGGUCGUCUUCUUCCAAGUUCUGCAAUUUAGGUUCUUCUUCCAUCGAGAACUUUGGAUUCAAUACGAAAACCCCUCACUUUUUUCAGUCAUAAGCCAUCACUGUCACUGAGCUUUCUGAACAAUUGGGUCAUUUAGUCAGUGACAUUACUAAAAUUCAACUCACCACAACUAAAUUCAUUUAUGUUUUAUAUUUUUGGGCCAAAGAUACUAUCCUAAAAAACAAAACAAACUGAUAAGGCAUACAACUAGUUUAGAUAAACAAAUCUAACACCAAUGACUAAAGAAAGUGAAAAUAAAACAAACAUGAUAUAGGAGCUCAAUUCUUUCAGAUAAAGAUUGGAGUGAGCUAAGUGCAGCAUUUGCACCAAAUCAUCAAUGGUAUCAAUAUUCUUCUUCUUCUUUCAACUACAGUCAGUAAGCACCAGCGCAAAUUCUUAGAAUAAAGAUAACAAACAUGAGAAGCAAGAAAACAACACAUAUUUAUUUAGGCCAGCCAUUGGAAGGAGAAUUUUAGGGUCUGUUUGGUACUCUACUUGAAUCCAACUUUUUAAACUCAAAAACAAUUUUCAAGUUUUAAGCCUUAAAAACUUGUUUGGUAUGACUAUUUUCAAAAAUUGAAUUCAAAACUAACUCAAAAAUAUAGUCUAUUCUCUAAAAACAUAAAAGGUGAGUUUUUAGAGUCUUUAAACUUAAACUCACUAUUUUCUUUUCUCUCCCUCCUCCCCUCUCAACUCCAAAUCUAUGUCUCUCCUCUUUUUUACCUUUUCCUUCUCCCCUCCAAUUUACUCUCUUCAUUUUCUCGAUUCUUUCUCUUACUCAUCUUCCUCUCUAUCUCGUCCGACCCUCUCUUCUUUCUCUUUCCUUCCAUCAUCUCUUACUUUCUUUCCUUUUAUCUCCUCCUUCUCCCUCUCAUGCAACCCCCUCUUUUUAGAUCUCUUAUCUAAUUUAAGUCGUAAGAUUUAAAAAUUUUAAAUCGCAAACCAAUCAAGUUUUUGAAUCUUAAAGAAAAUUGUUUUCAAGAAAUGUUCUUAAGAAAUGUUUUGAGAAAUGACAAAAAAAUUCAAAUAGGAUACCAAACAGGCCUUAAAGAUUUUCAAUAAGUUUGAGCUCUUAUAGGCUCCAAUCUAGGUAAAGGAAAGCAGUACAGUUGUGGUUUUUUUUAUAUAUAUUUUUAGCGCUAAUCUGCCGCAAUUUAUCUACCUCCAACAUAAAUUAUAUACUUUGUAAACUAUUUCAUAUUUGUUUCCCUUCUUUCACUCACCUUGACCCACCAUCAUACUCUAUGAGUUUGACCCACCAUCGUACUCUAUGAGUUUGACCGCAGUGCUCAAGUAACACCUAUACGACUCACAACUCUUCUACGUGAACUAACUUGAAAAAUGUUACCAUGAGAAUCGGAAGAGAACAUCUGCACUAGUAGUUAACACAUACAACCUUUGCAUACCUCAGUUUACUUGUAAUUUUGAACUGACAUCGAAGGAUAACGUUGAAUCAAUAGGAUCACUGCCUCCUCAGCAAUCUGUUGAUAAAUGAAAACAAAAAUGAAUAGGAUUAUACAUUGAAGGACCUAUAAAAGCAUCUCUCUCUUAAAUUCCCUCUCUAUCUCCACCAGUUCUUGAUUUUAAAAAUGUUUCAAGACACCGUAGGCUGCAACUUUAACCCAAACUCCAUCCCAGUAAAUCUAACCAAAUUAAAUUCGUUAGGGUAACUGCAGAAUGAGGUUUUCAUCGGCCAGGAGAAAAAAUAAAAAACUAAAACGAACUGAAACGAGGCAAUUUGUGAGUUUCUAGGGUUCUAAAUGAUGCGAAACUUAAAACGAAACUUAGAGAUAGAGAAUUCAGAUAUAUGACUAACGUAUUAACAACCAGAAAUCGCAGCCUCAAAAUUAUGAAAUCGUAGCCUCCAAUAUUCAAAAUCGCAGUCUCAAACCUCUGAACUCGAAGCUCCAAUAUUCGAAAUCGCAGCCGCAAAUCUCUGAAAUCAUAGAAAUACAAAUUAUUCAUGAAAUCAAUCCAAUCAGUUCUUCGAAAACGAAAUAAAAAACAAAUUCAGAAAAAUGAAAAAGAAAAAAAGCGAAUCGAAACAAUUCAAUCCAAUCAUAAGAAAUGAUUCAAAAUUACCUCGGAUCUCAACAGACCAAAACCCUAACAGAGUCCUCUGCAGAUCGAAUAAGGAUUGGACUAGUGGGAAACGAGUCGAAAUUGUAUUGAAAGUAAAAUAUCUCUGAAAUCGUAGCUUCUAACCUCUAGCUCAUAUCAAAAUCGACGGAAAAGCCAUGGAGAGAGCUUGACAAGUUGGACAAAGAGAGCUCGACGAGUUCGAGAGCCGGAGAAUUUGUUUUUUUCUUGGUUAAUAUAUAUACAGUAGAUGAAACAAAAUGUGAGCGUAAAUAUACAAGUUUUUUUUUUUGGAAAAUAUAGGGAAGGUAGAGAAGUUAUAGAGAAAUGUGAUAGAGAGAAAUGGAAACAAGUUUAAAAAUUCACCUCUCCCAGACCUUGCGUAAAGUUUAUGUGUCAGUUUAUAUUGCGUAAGACAAACUAAUAACAUGCUGGCAGAAGUUUGGCACAGUAACCUCCAAAAAUGAAAAAUUCAGAAUGCAUGAACUUGUAGAGUCAAAUACCAAACAUGUGUAAUAGAAUUCAUGUCACUCACAAAACUACAAAGCUAUACAAGUAAAUCAAAACACGUGCUCCCAAAAAGAAACUAUUAGCAAUUCAAAUACAGGGAUUCAUUAAAUUUCACAUAAGUAAUUCAAGACAACAUGAAGAGUUAAUAUCAUGGAGUGAGACACUUCAGUCUACCGUAUACGCAGAAGCAUAUUAUAAAUGAACCAAGGGAACGGUAAAAGAUGCAAAAGUUGGUCCUAGCUAACACUCACUAAUGUCUUUGAAGAGUUGCAUCCCAGCUUUUUGCUCAGAUUUGAAGGUGCGGGGUUACAAUUCAAAAAGCUAAGGACCUGAAGAUACACCAACUAAACUAAAGCAACUGGCUAAAAAGCCUACAUUCCCCCAUAACAGCUAUGGGCAUCUUUAUAAUCCGCAACAUAAUAAAAAUGAAUAAGGGAUAUAGAAAUAAAAAACAGUAGCAGUUCAGGGGAAGUACACUCGUGAAAGAAGGAUUCUCAGUACAAGAUGCCACAAAUUCUCAUAAUCCAAAAAAUUUGAAUUGGUAAUGAACCCCCAAAUUAGAGAAGACGCUAAGGUUGGAUCACAGAACAUAAAUGCAUGAGGAAAGUUUUGAAAAACUUUUUGGUCAAUACAACCAAAACUCAUGGCCACUCAUUCAGAUAUCCAAGAGAAUGGUAAAGAAAAGAAAACAAAAUUAUGACAGUUCUGAAUUUGGGUUUCAAAGUACAAACCUGCAGUUUGGUGCUUCAAUCAGCAAGCUGUUAAUAUCUUAAUGAAUAUUAACAGUACUAUGAUGAUCUUAUGUUUUCAACCACCCAAAAAAAAUUUAAAAAGGAAGAAACAACCAAAACAAACCAGUGGAAAAGCUACUGGAAUGACUCAAUUUCGAUAGCAAGCAGAACACUAGCACAACAAUGUAAACCUAUGACUCAAAUUCUACACUAAAUUCAUGCAUUUUUCAAGUUUCAUCAGCAUUUGGUCAGGGGAUUCUAUGAGAAUGCAAGGGAGAUGCCGACCGGAUUAGGAGAAAUUCAUGUGACACACAAGACAACAUUUCCCUUCGGUGAAUGGAAAAUAGUGGAGUUAGCUUAUAUGGCUGGAUUAUAUUUGGUUCAUGAAGAACAAUUCUCGAUAUGGGAUUAUCCAGAAAACCAAGAAAAAUCAUAUCAAUACGUUUUUUUAACAAAAUUGAAAGAGAAAAAAAAAAUUGCAGGGCCUCCAAGUAAAUUCCAGAUAAACCCAUCACUCCAAGUAGAUUCCAAGUUCGAGAUUUCCAUACCUCGAACCGAAGGUGGCUAAUUCUAAAGAAAUUUUGCAACAUUUUCCCCCAAUUUUCCCAAUAGUUGCCUAAUUCUAAAGAAACCCAAUAAACCCAGCUGCAACAGACCUCCAAAACCACCAAUAAAAACACAAAAUUGACCAAUUAUACAAACAAUCAAACAUUCAUGCAAUUCAACACAAACAGAUAAUACAGAAAACAAGAGAGAGAGAGUUACAGAAAAUUAAAUCCGAAAUCGAGUCACAAAUAUGCAAGGUGAAAUGGGUCUCUUCGAAUUGGAUUGAGGAAUUGCAGUCUCCAAGACCCAGAAACUCGAAAAAAGGGAUUACCUGUUCGUCUUUAUCCUUGGUAGUUCGUUGUUGGUGAGGCGCAACGCCGGAUCAUGGUCUGCGCAGCACAGCUCAGACCUCCAUCGCGGCACAGGAACUGAACUCGUUAAAAAAAACCCUGACUUUUGUUGUUUUCAAAUUAUAAUGGGCUGUUUUUAAAAAAAAUUUAAGUCUAGUUUUGCAAAAUGGGCCUACCAAACAUGUAUUUUUACCUUAAAACUUAAAAAUUGUUUUUGAAUUAAAAACUUUAGACUCAAAUCCAAUAUCAAAUAAGCCCUUAGAUAUAUGUUAGGUUAAUGUGGGUGGGUGAAGGAAAAAAAAAACGUAAAAAUUUUGUUUAUUCAAAAUUACGUUACUAUUAUGAUUUUAUUUUGUGAUAAAAGAUUACAUUUUUUUUUUGAGAGAGAGAUUUUGUUAACAUGUAAUUUAGAUAAGACUACAUAUUUUUUAAGAGAGACUAAGUUUUUUAUUUAUUUGAGAGAGAGAUUAAACUUAUUCACGUGAUAUGCGAUGUCAUGAUUAUUUUUUAGUUGCUUUUCCGUUAACAAUUUUACUCUAAUCUCUAUAUUCUUAUUUAUACGUUUUAGUUUUAUGUCCUUUUUUUUUCUUCUUGGUCCAUUUCUAUCUCUCUUUCUUCUCCUUCCUACCCAUGUCUCUCUUUCUCUCUCUCCACCUUCUUCUGUGUAUUUUUCUUUCUCUUCUCUCUUCGUACUUCUCUCUAUUCCUCCUCCUACAUCAUUAUCUUUACUAGUACUGAAAAUUUUGAAACUGAUCUUUUCAAAGUGUUGGAAUUUUAAAAUUGAUCUUGUAGAAAUUUUGGAAUUGAUCUUACAAAAGUGCAAAUAAAAUUUGAAAGUAAUCUUGCAAAAGUGCAUGAAUUGUGAAAUUGAUCGUUCAGAAAUGCAUAAAUUAAUUUUUACGGAUCUAAAAUCAAUUAAAAGUUUUUAUAGAUGGUGUCACUUUAUAGUUUUGGUCUGGUUAACUAACAAGUCUAUUGAGGCCAUGGUUGGAAUUUUAAAAUUUUGGUUUGCUUGUUUUUUUGUUAGGUUUGUUGAGGUUUGAGUUUUUGUCUCUUCUUGAAAUGAUUCAAAACUAGUGAAGUUCUAUGAAAUAUAUUUUGUGUUUUAGUGUACAGAGAUUUGGCAACCAUUGUGUGUAUUGCAAAUUUUAAAGUGUGGGGCUAAUGCUGGAGCUCCAUCAUGUUUAUAUGUUUAUGAACUUAGCAGGACUGUGAAUUUGUUGUUUAUCUUUCUCCAAGGGUUAGAGAAUGCCUCAUUUCAACGAUCAAUCCCUCAACCUCAUCGCCCAUAUAUGCCGCCAAGCGAAUGAAGCAGCACACCGUCUAGCCCGCUCGACACUUCUUUGUAAUGGAUUUUGUUCUUAGUUUGAAGAACCUCUUGAUCUCUCUUUUGUGUAUAUCUCUUCGACCAUUUGGUCUUUCAAUGAAUUUCAAAAAUAAAUAAAUAAAUAAAUAAAAUUCGGUAAUCGUUGAAGAUUGGAGGUUGCAUUGAACGUUUCUCACCCUUGACUUUGUCACAUUGAUAUCGCGAUCGCAUACAUUAUCUGACAUGCACGUAGUAUAUAUAAUUGUUGUCGGUGGAAAUAUAGGGGAAACCAUGGCUGUAGCUGUGAAAUCUACUGAAGAAUUAACAAGACAGAGGCGAGUGGUUGUGACAGGAACGAGUGUGGUGACCCUACUCGGUCAUGAUUCUGAUGUUUUCUACAAUAAUUUGCUUGAGGGAGUUCGUGGCAUUAGUCAUUAGUGAGAUAGAAGCUUUUGAUUGCACCCAGUUUCCAGCAAUAGAAGUCAUGGAGACGUUAGAUAAAGCAAAAUGUGUGGUUUUCAUUGGCUCAACAAUGGGUGGCAUGAAGGUAAGCCCAGUGUUCUGUGGCUUAAUUUUAUGUACACUUUUCGCGGAACAUUGAAAGAUCUUUCUACCGGUUUGUCUUCAAUUUGAUGUUUUUAGCAAGCAUGGUUUAGAGUUUGUAAUCGACCAAAUGUCAUUUUUGGUGGAGAUGCACGAAAACUAGUUUCUCUGAUUUCAGAACUGGACUUGUUUAUGUUGUUUAUCUGUUAAUUUAAGACACUGUAUCAGUAACCCUCUCCUGUAGUAAAACAUCUUGUAAACGCAAAAGAUUAUUUUCACAGAAAUUAAAUUCCAAGCCAGAUAAUCUCAUAAUGCUCCACAAAAUCUGAUUUUGGGACAAGCAGCUUCUGUACUUUGAAUUCGGCAAAUGAUAUCAUUAAAGCCAAAGCAGUAAGUAUUCCUACAAGCAGCUUCUGUACUUUAAGUAUAUUAUAAUAACUGAUAUACAAUUUUCUUUGAAAUCUUACGCAGGACUUUAUGCUCUGUGGGGGUUCAGAUUCAGUGAUGAUACCUCUUGGUUUUGCUGCCAUUCUUUGCAAAUGUUAUUUCUUAGUUUUACUCGGAGUUGCACGUACAAUAAUCUUGUUCUUAUGCAAUUACUGGAGGAAUGGGAGGCUUUGUGGCAUGCAGAGCACUGUCACAAAGAAACAAUGAUCGACCAAAGCAUCACGCCCUUGGGAUAGUGUAAUGCGUCCAAUAACUAUGUUAGAUUCAUUUAUUCUUUUAUUUCCAAUAUGCACAUGGUUCAAGCUUGUCCUUCCUCUUCAAAUCCCCACCAGCCUUCUUGCUGGCAUACUCUUUGCGUAACAUUUCUAGACCAUCAGAUAUGAUCCAACGAACACUACUAGCUACCAAGAUCAUGAUUGAUGCAAAGUGUAGUUAUCUAAACAUUGCAAUAUGAACAUCACAUACAACCUACCGUAAUGAAGAUGCUUUAGAUUUGAACUGUGUGGAAGCCUUGCCACGCCUGCCCGAGAUUGUUUUGGCAUCCAUAUAAUCUGCAUUGCUAUCCUCGGUUUCUUCGUCAUCAAAAUCAGAAAAGAUUUUUGUAUGUUUCCACCUGCUUAGCCUGAAAAGAAGAUAGAAAAUAACAAUAUGUUAGAGAACAUGAAGAUUACAAAAUAUAUAUAUAUAUAUAUAUAUAUAUAUAUAUAUAUAUAUAUAUAUAUAUAUAUGCAUAUGAGUUAAAAAUGAGAUGUAAAAAUUUCAAUGGCAAAUACAUACAUGAUACAUAUGUGAUAUGUCUUUACAAUAAGAAUAAAUAAGCAAACAUGCGAGUUGUGCUCACGCAUGUAUUUAACUUUUAAAUUAUGAAAGAGUGAGACCUGGAUGUAUUUGCUUUGGACACUUGAGAUCUAGCUUCCUCAGAUUUAGAACCCAUCUUCUUCUCUUUUCGUUCCUUGAGCUGUGUUCAACAAGAAAAGGGAAGAUCAGAAACUAGUAGUAAGUACCCCUGGAAUAUUCACUCUAGCAGAUGCCUAUCGACAAACCUUCCGUAUGUUCGUAAGUAGUUUCAUAUGCUCUUGAGGCAUCACAGCCUUAACAGCAUCAAGCCCACAUUUCUUGACGAGCAUUUCUAGAAGAAGUUUAACCUGAAAAAAUAUUUGGUUUUGAACAGCAAGUGAUAAGAACUUGGGGAAGUUCAUUAAACCAAUUGAACUCAGUGUCUGAAUAGUGUCACAAACAUACUGACAAGGAAACACCUUGGCUUUGAAAAGGGUUUUAGUAGCAUCUUGCCACUUCAGCAAGCCUUCCACCAUACUUUUCAAAUGCAACUGCAACCCCUCGGCUUGUGAUUUGGCUACUAAUACCUUCAACAAGCCCAAAUUAGCCUGCAAAAAAGAAAUAACAAAUAGGUCAAUGAUUUAUCAAGCAGUGCACUCAAAAUAACUGAUAACGCCGAAAUGCUGAUCCAAAAGAGAAGGGAACAAACUUUAAUUAUUUCUUUGUUCUUUCUCUGAAGGUGGAGAAAUGUGGAUGGGAGUAAAUUGCUGGCACUUGAAACAAGGUCAGAAAACUCAUAAGCCAACCUAGCUAAGCCCUUCAUCGCAGCACUGAUCAUUUGAGGAGUUUCACCAGCUAGCCCCCCAGCUACCUGUGACCAUAAGAUUAAGCUUAGACAUGCUGCAAAUUUAUAUCAAUUUCUGCUUUCCCACAGAAGACCAAUUAUAGCCAAAAGAAUAUCAGUAAAAAACCGCAGCAGUGUCUGAAACAAUAUCUAGUACCAUGUUAAAAAACUGCUGCAGGUUUUCUCUCUUCCCGCCAGUCUCCUCAUCUCCACAAGCAUGGCCAAUUUGGACAAGGAGACUGCGAAGUCAGGUAGAAGUGAGACUGCCAAGUCAAAUAGUUGUGCCCUGCAGUUAAGAUCGAAGAAUUAAUGUCAGGUCAGCUAUAAAAACAAAAAUGAAGAACUAAACAUAAUAGACAUAAAAACAAAAAAUAAAAUAAAAUAAAUAAAUAAAAGAUGUACCUUGUGGUAUUAGAAUCUCUAGAACUUUCUGCUUUCCUAGCCUCUUCUGUAACCUUUAAGAGCUUCAUCAAUGUACUUCUAAAGUACCUUGAUACAACUUCUUUAUCUGGUAUUGAAGCGAACUCACCAAUUGUGGACUGUAAAAGGUGCAAAAAUAAUUAUUUUCAACUUCACAAAAUACUAAUCAUGCAAAAUUUAUCAACAAACAAGCAUCUAGCAAAAAUUGUAUUCUUCAUGCUCAGAAGCCAACACAUCUGCCAAAAUCAAAGAAAAAACACGACAGAACUUUUUGAGUUUUGCUUUCUACAAUAGAACAGAUAUAGACAGGAACUUAGACGAAGAUUUCUUUAACGAAUAAGAAGGUAAAACAUACGCAGCUAAAGUCAAUGGAGGACAAAACAUUACAUACCUUUAAGCGCAUUGAAUACAAGAGGGAGUUUAACUACACGUAUUUGCCUAUUAAGGGAAUAAACUUUCCCCAUUCCAGUACCAAGCAAGCGAGCUGUAAAUGUCAUGCCAUCCACAGACGUCUCAUUCGUAGAGACAGAUAGAGCUAAUGAGCAUAAUAGAUCGAGCAACACUUCAGGAGAAACGUCUGCCGAUGGAUUGAGACAAAGUAUAUUCAAACUAUCUGUUAUGCGCUUUGUAACAAGUGGUUGGCGCAGUUCCAAAAGAGUUUUGUAGUACUUGAGGACGUUGGUUUUGCACUUGAUUGACACAAGAAACAGGCACUCUUUCAAAGCAUCCAAAACAUACAAGACUUCCUGGGCUCCCUUGGGUCCUUCACUCGCAUCUGCCUUUGACCCACCGGCAAGAAGAAGAAACCUUUCAAAUAAGUUAGUUAUCCCUUCACUGCAGGUGCAAGAAGCGGCGUUCCUUGAAAACUUUGCAACACAUCAUGAAGACACAAAGGAGAUUGUCUUCUCACCUGUUUUUGAAUCCAAUCAGCACACAUUCACAUACAUGUAAGAAUCGAAAUCUGAAUUCGAUCAUAACAAUCGAUAUUUACCAAAAUAUGCAACAAUUGUGCCGUAAAGUCGUUUGAUAAGCCUCAAAUUCAUCGAAUUUAUAUAAUAAAUGACCGGAAUAACCUUAAUUCUAUCCAAAGAUAUAUCGUGGUUCAUCCAAGUUGGGCUACGUCCACCACUGGUGUCGAUUCUGUUUCACUAUGUAAAUGAAGGUUACAAUAUACAUGGAGGCUAUAGAGGCAGUGUUUGCUCUAUUUGCUCUCCUUUGCUAUCUGUUUUGUUCCCUUCCAGUGAAGGUGAAGGAUCCCUUUUAUAGAAUAAGGGUUUCCUUCACCUCCUACAUACAUAAUGGGCUAGGUUCUGAGGCCUAAAUACUGAAGCCCAAUAUAUAGUACAAACAACUUACAUUCUUGAUGUGUUCGAAGAUGUCCCUCACUGUAUUUUUGGUGAUUCCUCUCAUGGUAAAUGUCUUACCACUACUAGUCUGCCCGUAAGCAAAAAUUGUAGCUGUCAAAAGAAAAUGUGGCAACUUAGAAUCGGCAGAAGACCAUGUUGCACAAGAUAUAAUGACAUAGAAGUCUACGAGUUAGUAGCUAGAUAUUCAGUUACCGUUCAUUCAUGUGAGUGCAGAUAAAGCAACAUCCUUGGCUCCUUCCUCAUAAACCUUCUGAGUUGAGCACAUCGGGCCAAAAACCUUAUCUGUCGCAUUUAAAUCACAACAAAUGAGUUACUUUUACUCUCUCAGAAACUUGACUCCGAAGAAAACAAAAAGGAAUGUACCAAAAAUUACAAUAUGGUACAUCAAAUUAUUUUCACACAUCGAAACCUCUGUGCGGUUGACAGAAUUCAGCAGCGAACAAAAUAAGAUUAGCGAAAGCACAAGAAGAAUACAAAAGUUUUCAUGUACUGCCUACCAAAGGUGUACGGGUUUGAAGGCCGCUCAUGAUUCGGAUUUUUGAAAACUACAGUGGCCCAUCCAAGCAGUCCCAAGCUAUAAGAUCAUACAUUGCCUGCUCUCGCCUGUUCAGCGGCCUCAAACGAACGGUAACCAAAAUUUUCUCCUCGCUGACUUUUGAGCCACCCGGAGUGGAGCACGGAGUCCUUCGUAGCUUUAGCCGACGGAGUUGCUGGUGUCCCCGGCAUCAUCUUCACUUACUAACCUCCACUCUAAGAACAACAGAAGCCAAAUCAAUCAGAAUCAUUACCGAUCAUAAAAAUUCACAUUUUCGAUCUAGAACAAUCCAGAGAAUUCCUAGUGGUGACAAAGAUACUACUUUUCUUGGAUUGCAAAAUUUAACCGAUACAAAUUUGGAAACAAAAUUUAUGGAUAAAUUACAUAAAAUUACCUUAAUUAUUGGGUUAGUCACAAUUUCAUACCCCGUUUUAAAAAAAAAAUCAAUGCCAUGCCUCAUCUACGAAUUUUUCAUAAUUUCAUACAUUCUGUCAGUGUUCUGUCAAUUAUUCUGUUAAAUAGUGACGUGGUUCGAGACAGGACCCACUCUCUCUUAAAAAUUAAUAAAAUAUUAAAUAAUUAAUUAAAUAAUAACUUUAAAAAAAAAAUCAUCUAAUUUUGUUUUUGCAUGGGAACUACCCUUUAUCCCCUCAUCCUUUCUUCCCCCUCUCGUCUUCAUCCACCUCGCCCCCCCCCCCCCCCAAAUGACGGCGUGGCGAUUUUGCCCCAACAGACCCGCCCCUCAAAAUCCAUGGUCAUCGGCACAAUCUUCGGCCACCGCCGCGGCCACGCCUCUCCACCAAACCCACCCUCAUCUUCGAGCUCUCGGUCUCGACCCACCAACUAGUUAACGAGAUGCGAUUCAGGCUCGUUUACGUGACCCUCAAAUUCGAUGAGUCAGACUGGCCUCAGCUCGCUGAUUGCCCUCUCUGAUCCGUCCCCAUUUGGACCGUUCACUGCAACGGUCGCAAACUCGGGUCCGCGCAGAGAAGAAAAGUGAGCGAGAAGGUGGAAUUGAUGCUAAAGAUGAUGCAGUCGACAAUGGUUGGAGCCGGAGUAAUGCCGGCGGGGUUUUGGGUUUGGGUUGGGUGUGGUGGAUGGGAUUGUUGGAAAGGGUGGGUGGGAUCUGGGUUUGGGUUUGGGGAAGACGGGAGGGGGAAGAAAGUGAGGGAAAAAGGGGUGGGUCCCCAUGCAAAAAAAAAAGUGUUUUUUAAUUUUUUAAUAUUUAAUUAAUUUUUUAAUAGAUAGUGAACCUCAUCACAAGCCACGUCACUAUUUAAUGGAAGAAUUGAAAGAAAACUGACGGAAUGUAUGAAAUUGUAAAAAAAUUGUAGAUGAGGUAUGACAUUGAAAUUUUUAAAAGACGAGGUAUAAAACUGUGACAGACCCAAUAAUUGAGGUAGUUUUAUGUAAUUUACCCAAAAUUUAUAAAUUAAAUGAUGUGUCACCAAUAUGAAUGAGCAUUUUUAUCAACGCUUAAAUAAUAAGUCAAUCAUCAACUUUCAUGUCAUUUAGUUUUUAAAAUUUUGUCUCCAAAUUUAGCCUCCUCAACAUUAUCCGGAUGAUAAAUGUCAAGACGUCGAGCUAUCAGAAAUCGGGCCGAGCCUAACAACAAAGCCCAAAAUAAAAAUAGGCCCGCCAAUUAAAGAAGAGUCAAGACCAUUUUGUUUAGAAGUGCUUUUAAAAGGUUUGAAAGUAUUUUCGAAAGUGCAUUUUAGCAUAAACACUUGAAGUCGGGAAAAUAGAGUUGUUCGGUUUAUUGUUCUUCCAUGUUGUAUUGGUCCCCUUUUUGGUCUCAGUUCCAAUUCCAAAUUCGAAAGUGAAAUAUAGACCUGUAGGUACAUUCUCCUCAAACAUUUCAUUAUACUCCCGGUUGGUAGCUUUAUCGAGUAAACAACAGGUAUUGGGCAGUCACUGUGUCAUCCUCAAUUGUGAGACUUGAAGGAGAUCAAAUGUACAUAAUCGGCUUUGGAUAGGCAUUUUAAAAAAUAAAUACCAACUACUGUGUUGCCAAUUAGCAUUACGGUCUAAUGGUAUUUCUCUUUACUUGUAAUUGAAGAGUCAUAGAUUUGAUUCUCGUCAAAAGCGAAGUUGAACUACAUUAUUAUGACUAGCCCACUCUAGGGAUGGGCAACGGUUAUGGCGGGCGGGUAACCGCGGUUAUUAGUUGUUGCUACCAACAGAACUACGACCAGAGGCACAAAUUAUAAAUCCCCACGCGAAAUCCCUGUUGAUCUCGUUGAUCGCCUGUGUAUUAACAUAAUAUAUAUAAUGGACCAUGAAAUUUAAAGUAGUUAAGGAAAACUAUAUUAUAUUAGCUACAUAAAUCAUGCACUAUAGUCAAUAACAUUGAUCUAAGUUUUGUCAAAUAAGGAACAUGAUUUGUGUUAAAUUUACAUAUAUAAAAUAAAUGGGUAAACGGUUACCCGUUUAUAACCACGGUUAAUAUCCAUAACCGCUCAUUUAAAUUUCGCGGGUAAACGGUUAUACUCAUAACCUUUUAUUUAUCUAAACGGUUACUCAUAACCAUAACCGUUUAAUUUAAAUGGGUGGGUAACCGCGGUUACCCAUAACCAAUGGGUAUUUGCCCAUCCCUUACCCACUCCCUCACCUCUUAGUAUAAAUACUAUUGUUUGUUAUAAAAAAAAAAAUAAUAAUAAUUGCAUUUCUCCUUUCUGAAUUUCUUCGAAUGUGGCUCCAGUUCUGGACCACUUGGUAAGCAAAGUCCCAAGACAUGGGUGAAAAAAGUCCAUCUUUUCUGGCAAUGACGCCAAUUGCUCACAUUACAAAAGGUGAAAAAAAAGGAGAAAAAAAAAAAGGUUAUCAAGUGGGAGAGUAAUACUCUCCACCACCACACAGCCGUACAGGACGGGAAUAGGAUUGGAAGAAAUUAAUAUCUUCCAAAAUAUGCAUUGUUUCUGUAGUUUAGUGUAGCAUCCAUAUAAAAGAGGAAGAACAUAAGUCUCCUCCCAUCCCAUGUGGUGUGACAAAGUUCUAACACCAAACAAAUCACAAAAUCAAAAGAAACAAGUCUGGACUCUAUUGGAGCCAAGCUCUAAGUAGGAAAAAAAAUGGAGUACCAAGCCAACAAGGCUCCCCGGCAGCUUUGCAAGGGAUGGCGGAGGAACGUUUACGUAUGCAACCUUACUCUUGCUUUGUAAAGAAGCUGUUUCCAUAACUUAAACCAAUGACCAUUUGGUCACAAAAGACCAACAUUUCCAUUGUGCCAAGAUUCACCCUCAAAUAAUAAAUGGAGUACAAAAGAAAAAAAAAGGUGUGAAGAAAACCACUUAACAAUCUAAAGUGCUUUUGUUGCAAUAUUUCAAGUCAAGUAACUUUUUUAUGUGCAAGAUUGGUUUGACAUACGGACAUGGUAGUGUCAUGUUGCAUUGCAUCAUGCUGGUGACAUGAGGUGAAAAAGGAAUGCUUCAGUAAAAAAAGAUAAAUCAUUGUUGAUGAAAGCAAGUUGUUAUGAAAGUUACUCUCACAUUGAAGGGUAGUUUGUUAGAAAAUACUUCAUAGAAAUCACUUUUGAAAUGAAAUUGCUACGAAAGUUCAUCUCUUUCAACUUGAUCACAUUCACAUUUGAAGGUAGUAGGUAGGAAACUGCAACGUAGGUAGGAAGAAAAGCAUGAGGACUGAUAUAACAAGAGAGAGUCCAUUGUCCAUACAAUACUGCAUAUACCAAGAAAUGUCCUGGAAGUUGUUCUUUUGAUUUUGGGUAGUGACUUAGUUGACUGGGAAACUUUGUUGACGAAAAGUUGGGUUUCAUCAAUCCAGGAGACAUGUAGACAUUUUAUUCUUCACCAUUUUCUAAGAUGAAAUGACGUGAAUGAAAAUCCAUAUGUUAAGUUCUGAAUGGCUUACUGAUGUUGAGAGUGAAUUUUACAUCGGGUAAAAAAGUGACUUUAUAUGUGUUUAUAAGUAAUUGAAAUAUUUCUUAUAUUGGCAAUUGAUUUUACGAUGAAAUCUCAACUUCUUUCAUGAUAUUAGAGCAGAUUGUCGCAUGUGCAAAGCCCAACGAUCAUACGAGCUCAACGUCACCCGAUUCGUGUUGUCCACACAUAAAAGAGCUUUUUGAGAAUGAAUCUCACAUCGGAUUAACUUACAUGUUUUGUAUGUGUUAAGUAGCCCUAGGAUGCUGAACUCUUUCUAUAUUUUGUAGGUACCAUAUUAUACCAUUAAAAUUUAUUGAUUGUUCCAGUUUCUAGUUCAUUGGCUUCAAUCCACAAUCAAAACUUUUAUAUGGGAUGGGGGUUCUCCUAAGUCAUGAGUAACCACAUUGAAAGUCUAUUUACCAAAAAACAAAAAAUUGAAAGUCUGUAUUCUUUUUCCCCAAAUUGAAAGUCUGGAUUGUUUUUUUCCCCCAAUUUUAAGUUAUGUUGUCGAACUUAUACCUGUAGGAUUUUAAGUUUGACUUUCAUAAAUGACGAGUUUCAUAUGGAUUUAUUUAUGUAACUUAGUUUAAACCUCUCAUGUCCUAUAGCGUAAAUAUAUUGUUGUAUGGCAUGCCAGACUGGUUAAUUUGAUUUCCUGCAGGUUUAUGUUUUGUGGUGCUAAUUAAUAUGUAUUUAUGAAAGUUUCUUGUAGAUACCUCAGAGUCAUCCAAAACCCGAAGUGAGCCAGAGUUGCGUUUUAGAAGACCAACAACAGCUUCAUUUUAGAUCUCCAGAGCAGAAAAUGGUCAAAACAAAAUACCUUUAUGGCGUCUACGUGAUCAAAAAGAAAGCAACAAGGGCAUGAGUACAAAAUGGUUAUAACAAUACCAAGAGGAUUCCAAAGGCUAUAUAAAAGGUCAUGGUAUGAACUAUGACUUGUAUUCUUGAUGUGUUCGAAGAUGUCCCUCACUGUAUUUUCGGUGAUUCCUCUCAUAGUAAAUGUCAUACCAACGGGAAACGGGGUGAUAAAUAUCAAGAAGUGGGGCUCGAAUAUUAGAAACCGGGCCGAACCUAACAACAAAGCCCAAAAUUAAAAAUAGGCCCGCAAAUUAAAGAAGAGUCAGAAGCCUUUUCGUUUAGAAGUGCUUUUAAAAUGUUUGAGAGUAGAAACACAUGUAGACACUAGAGAGAACAAUGUGUGUGGUGUGUAGCAUCCAUAUGAGAGAGGAAGAACAUAAGUCUCCUCCCAUGUGGUGUGACAAAGGGUGUAACACCAAACAAAUCACAAAAUCAAAAUAAACAAGUCUGAACUUCAUUGGAGUCAACCUCUAAGUAGAAGUAAAAAGAGAGUCACAAGCCAACAAGGCUCCCUGCUUUGCUAGGGUCGGAGGAGGAACAUCUAUCGUACGCAGCCUUACUCUUGCUUUGCAAAGAUGAUGUUUUCACGGCUCGAAUCCAUGAUCAUUUGGUCACAAUGGAGCAACCUUUCCAUUGUGCUCAGGUUCGCCCUCAAAUAAAAAAGGGAGUACAAAAGAAAAAAAAACAAAAGGUGUGAAGAAAACCACUUAACAAUCUAAAGUGCUUUUGUUGCAGUAUUCAACUCAAGUAACUAUUCUAUGUGCAAAAUUGGUUUGACAUACGAACAUAGUAGCAUCACGUUGCAUUGCAUCGUGCUGGUGAUAUGAGGUGAAAAAGGAGCGCGUUAGUAAAGAAAAAUAAAUCAUUGUUGAUGAAAUCAAGUUGUCACGAAAAUUACUCUCACAUUAAAAGGUGGUAUAUAUGAAAAUGCUCGUAUAAAUCAAUUUUGAAAAGAAGUUGUCACUAAAUUUUUUUCUCUUUUAGCUUGAUUACAUUCACAUGUGAAGGUAAUAGGUAGGAAACUGCUCUCCAGGUAGGAGGAAAAGUGAGGGCUGAUAUUACAAGAGAGAGUCCAUUGAUAAUUUGAUUAUUAUUUAAACAUUGAUAAACGUGCUCAUUUUUUAUUGGUGACACAUUAUUUAGUUUACAAUUUUAAUAUAUAAAUUUAGUCUCUCUAUCAUUACUCUUUUGGAAAUGACGAGUUCUAUACUGAGAGAGAGGAUCCUUGUCGAUCCUCUUUGUGAGGAUCUCGGAGAUCCUCUUUAUCGUGCAUUGUGAGACUAGUUUUUGUCAAGUAUGAUUUAUAUUUAAUUUUAAAUUAAAAAAUUACAUAAUUUCUGACCGUACGAUAUAAAAUAAACGAAUAUGAUUUAAAGAUUUCGGAAAUCCUCGUAAGGAGGAUGCAGCGAGGAUUCUCCCUUGUAUACCGAUCUAUUAUUAUAGUAGCCCACUUCUGCAAAAUGGAGAACCAUGCGUUAAAAGCACAUACACGGAAAUUGAAGCACAGGCUCCCAUACAAGGCCAGCCUCUGCAGGAGGGGACCCCACCCACGUGGGUUGUACAGCCACUUGUUGGAUUGAAUAUUGAGCCCAAUGGCUCUUUUGACUAAUCGAGACAUUAACCUCAUUUAAGUGAUUUAGAUGGUGAAAUGAUGACUAAUUAAUUACUUGUCAAUUAAUUGGUGAAAUGAGGAUAAUUAAUUUUUUUUGGUAUAAUUGAAGCAAAUCAUUCUUUGUCAACUUAGAUUCGAUGUUAUAUAUCCAUAUACUAGUAAACAUAAAUUUAUUAUAAACACUAACAACAGUACCACACUUAGAUUGAAUGUGUUUCUUAUAUAUAUUUCAUGUGUUUUGUGUUUUAUGCAUAUUUAUUAUGUAUUUUAUAUUCUUUCAUAAUCUUUCAUGAAAUUUUUUAUAUCGAUUUAUAGUGUAAAAGUAAAAAUCCAAACAUGCACAUUUGAUGGCAUGUCAGUGGUUAAUUUGAUUUCCUUCAUAUUUAUGGUGCUAAUUAAUAUGUUUUAUGUAAAAGAAAUUGCAUUUCGUCGGUACGCAUUGCAUGAAAGAGGAAAAAAUAAUGUCCAAAGAAUCAUUUUAUUAUAUAAACGAAAGAAAAAGGUAAAUAAUUGUAGCUGAGUGGUUUCCAACUAAUGAUAGUGUGAUGAGACAAUGAAUUGACCCAUCAAGAUCAUCAGAUUUAUGAAUAUGUGGCGUAUGGAAAAAGAACGUGUCGGUAACAAAAAACCAAAUUGUUUGAUGAAAUGAUAUUGCAACGAAAGAGAUGAGAAGUUUCGUGUCAACUUUAAUCAUUCACUUUAUCACAGUCACAUCGAAAGGUAGUAACUACGAAGCUGCUUCGUUGGUAGGGAGAAAAGCAUGAUGACUGAUCUAUAUACCAAGAGAGAGUCCAUUGUCCAUACACUAAACCAUACUGCAUAUUCCAAUUAUCCGAGAGGCUUUUUUCUUUAGUUUAUGGUCUGGCUUUAAUUCUCCUAUGGCCAAUCAAAUUGUCCCUUCUUUACUAAAAGUUAAAACUCAGCGGAAGUUAACUGUUCAUUAACAGUGUUGCUGAGCAAAUUUUUUUGGUCUUCUGGAUUGUGCAGUGAUUUGGCAACUCUGCCCCUCUCUUUCGUGGUUGGCUCUUCGUCGUUCUUCACACCGAAGUCGCUGGAAGGGUUUGCAAUUGCCAUCGUUUUUUCUGCUUAUUUCUUUCCGUCUCUCUCUUCAAUCCGAUCUCAUCGCUUAGAAAUUUGGUUGUUCUGUUUGUUUCUGCCGUCUUCUGCAAACGAAUCGCGUCGUUUUAGAUGCGAUUCUUCAUCUGUUAUUUUACUUUUUGUUUGGUUAUCAAGAAAAUUUUCAAAUUCAUUUUUGUUAGAUUCAAGUCUUGGUCUUUCGCGUUGACUGAUUUCUUAUUUUUGGGCCGAUUACGUUGUUUAUUUCAGGAAAGAUUGGUCUUGCAAUUUUAGGGUUUUUGCUGCCGCGUGUUUGCAGGCCCUUUUCCAAUUAAGGUAUGUAAUUCAUGUUCAUUCUCUUCGAAUUUUCCCAUUUAAAUCUUUCAUCUUUGAUCUCAAUUCUUUAAUUCCAAGGCCCCUGUUUCCAGAUCUUCAUCUGUUCCUUCCAUUUACACAAGCUCUUAGCCGUUGGUCUGAUUCCGCGUCCCGUACAUAAAGCAUUCAACUUUCCAGGUUGGGAAUCCGAGUUUCCCUUUUUUUUUUUGUGCUUUUCAGUCAAUUAAGCAUGUCAUUUGAAGAUCAAUUUAACUUUUGUCCAUGUGACCUAAACCAUUGAACUCUACAGGAUAAUUUGAUUAGAAAAUCCUUUUUUUUUCCCUACUUUUGAAUGAAUCAAGCAAGGCAUUUUAAAGCUCUGUAUAAAAAAUUAUAUAAACUAACUAAAAUUUUUUUCCCCUUCUUUUGAAUGAAUUAAACAUGUUAUUUCAAAAUUAGUGUGGUGUAUUGAAAUUGCAAUAAAAAAAUGUUGACUCUUUUUCAUGGCAACUUAUUUUGAAGAGAUUUAUAAUGUUGUCUGUCAUGUUAAAAUUUUGGAUCAGUUUUUUUAAAUUUUUUAUCAGUUCUCUAUCUUUGCAGUUGAAUUGAAUUAUUCUAAGGUACAUAAAUUUGGCAGUCAUAUUCGUGGGACCUCAAUUUUCUUUUUGUUAUGAUGAGUGGUUUGAGUGAUGUUACAGCUUUGUUCCAUGUUUCUGUGGAGGUUUGAUCUUUUUUUAUUUGGAAUUGUCUGCAGAUUAAUAUCAGCGUAAAAAAAAAAAAAUUCUGCGAAUUUGGAUUCCAAUUCUUCUGCACCUCAUCUAUCAAACUGAUUGGUCAUUCUAUAUAUUUGUAAGUAUUCCCUCUGCAGAUAUUGUAUGAAAUAUUUUAUUUCUUUCUUUUCUUGGUCAACUGUAUAAUUAUUUUCUGUGAGACUCAGAAUCUUAUGGGCCUCUAUUAUUAACAAAAACAAUAUUAUUUUUUCCUGAGUUGCAUAUUAAUUAUCAUAACACUCUCCUACAUGUUAACUAUCAAUUUACAGACUUAACAACCCUCCACAAACUGAAUCAAUAUUUUUUCACACCCUACAGUACAACUUUAACUAUUGUAUUACAUCUAUAUUGUUUCUUACAAUUCCUCCAUCACCAGGUCAAAACUGAACCAUCUGUUAUCCCUAUCUGUUUAUUCCUUACUAUAAAAAUGACGAAUACACGUGUCUGUAAAACUUUUUACAAAUCUCAUACAGACACUUUAUAAACCUGCAACAACGCGGUCACAAUUGCUAGUAUAUAACAAGAGAGAGUCCAUUGUCCAUACACCAUACCAUAAUUACGAGGAUUCUGUUAGCUUUUUCGUGAACUCAUUAUUCCUAUACGUACCCCACCUUCCACAUUUGUAGACAAUGAACUUGUUUUAAUGUACUUUUAAAAUGACUGAAAGUGUUUUUAGAGAAAAUAUUUUUGGUUUUUAAAAGCACUUAAAUGUUUUCUAUAAGAAGCAUUCCAUGGAGAACUUUAAGUGAUUUUUAAGAAUUUAUUAGCAUUUUUACUAAUGAUUGUUUCUAAAAAUAUUUUCAUCAAAAACGCUUUUAAUUAAUUAUUUUAAAAAUACAUCUAAACGAGCUCAAUGUCUCUGCUCUCCACAUGGUUGCGAAUCCGGUCUUCGAUGCUUAAACUCGUCACUUUAAAACAGAGAAAAAUCAUGUGUGGCUCAUUUAUUCAGCCUAACUAUUAAUUAAUUAAAUCCAGCGAAUAAAAAGAAUACAACACAAAGACGUGGCCUUUGAAAAGAGGCAAAUGGUUCGGAAUUAUAAAGUCAUUGGUGAAGAAAAGCCAUGGGUGAUGACAAAUAUCAAUGAAUAAUAAAAUACAGACAAAACCAAGGUGAGUCGGUAGCUCGUCAAAGAAACAAAAAGUUCCAAAGGCAUAACAAAACAAAUUAAUAAGAUACAUCUUCGUUCAAUUAAAGACCACGUGCCAACAAACCAUUUUAUAUUUUUCAGUCGUCUGUGUUUAUCUUAGAAUAUCAUUACGGAUCGUUCCAUCAAAAAUAGUAAACAGUAGCUUACCACGAAACUUCCUCUCUUUUAAGUUAAAGGUAAUACUUGAAAAAUAAAAUUUGUAAACUAAUUAAUGUCGUUAAUAUAAAAAUAAGCACGCUAAAUCGUUAAUCAAUAUCCAAAUAAUAACACAAUCGUUAAUUUUUAUGUAAUUUACUUUACAAAUUUAAUCGUCCUGACAUUACGUUUAAAUUAAUAUUCGCUUUUUAAAUGAAGUUGCUAAGAAGUUUCCUAUCUGUCAACUUGACCCCGUUCACAUUGAAAGGUUGCUGGUAUCUAGGAAACUGCUUGGUAGGUAGGGAGAAAAGCAUGAGGACUAACAUGACAAAGAGAGAGUCCACAUUCACAUUGAAGGUGGAGGAAACUGCUGAUUCCUACAUAGCAAGAUAAGUAUGCAUAGCAAGAGCGAAGUCUUGACACGAAUACCAGUCCAGAAUCCACAAUCAAUCCUUUGAAAGGUUCUUUAGUUUACCUGGAUUUCUCCAAUGAAUAAUCAACUUGUCCCCUGCUCCUCUUCCUCUUCUUCUACCUUUUGUAUCGAUAGUACUCCUUCGUGGAGAUAUGAUGUCUUUUUGAGCUUUAGAGGAGAGGAUACACGCACCACUUUUACAGAUCAUUUAUACAAGGCGUUGGUCGACAAGGGAAUCCACACCUUCAUUGAUCGCCAACUUGUAAGAGGAGAAGAAAUAUCACCAGCGCUCCUCCAAGCAAUUGAAGAGUCAAGAAUUUCUCUCGUCAUAUUCUCUAAAACCUAUGCAGCUUCAAGGUGGUGCUUGGACGAGCUCGUCAAGAUUCUUCAAUGUAGACAGUCAAAGCAACAAAUAGUUUUGCCAGUUUUUUAUAAGGUGGAUCCGUCCCAUGUACGAAAUCAAACGAGUAGUUUCGGUGACGAGUUCAAAAAACUUGAGUGCAAAUUCGAGGACAAUAAGGAGAAGAUCCUCGCAUGGAGGAGUGCUCUUAGAGAAGCAGCAAAUUUGUCAGGACAUCCUCUCAAGGAAGGAGAGUACGUAUAUUUCUUCCCCCUUACCGUGUAUUUAUAUAAUUAGUUUCCAGGAAUAAUAUCAUCAGUAUAGUUAAUUACUAGUGCAUUUUGGAUAGAAACAUAGAAAUAUUUUCAAGUACACUUUUUUAUUAAUAUCGUGUAAUUUUCCUUUCUAUUUGUUUUUACAUUCUUUUCUACGUUUUUCUGAAAUAUAGCCAAAAAAAAAAAGUUCAGUGAUUAAUUGUGUGAUUUGUUUUUAACUGCUAGCUAUGAAGCUACGUUAAUCGGCAACAUUGUUGAGGAUAUCUUACUCAAAGUACUUGAUGGCACAUAUUUGGAUGUGGCCAAAUACCCGGUUGGAAUACAAUCUUGCGUACAAGAGGUGAAAUAUCUUUUAGGUGCUGAUGGAAAUGGUCGUCGUGUGGUUGGGAUUUGGGGGACAUCUGGAAUAGGCAAGACAACAAUUGCAAGAGCGGUUUAUAAUGCAAUUGCUCGCAAGUUUCAAGUUUGUUGUUUCCUGGCAGAUGUUAGAGAAACAUUGACAUCACUUGAAGGCCUAAUCCAACUACAAAAGACUUUUCUAUCUAAAAUUCUACGUGGCACAAAGUUGGAAAUUGUCGGUGUUCAUGAUCGAAUCGGACUUAUAAAGAAACUGUCGAGGCAAAUGAAGAUUCUCUUAAUUCUUGAUGAUGUGGAUCAAUUGGAGGAGCAGAUAAAAAACUGGGUUGAUGUCGAUUGUUUCGGUGAGGGUAGCAGGGUGAUCAUAACCACAAAAGAUAGAAGUUUGCUAGAUUUUUAUGGAGGCCAGUGGAUAUAUGAAGUCAAAAUGUUAGAAGACGACAAAGCACUUGAGCUUUUUAGUUUGAAUGCUUUCGAAAGAAAUAGACCUCCAGAUGAUUAUAUGAGCCUCGCACGACGUGCAAUAGCCUAUGCUCAAGGCCUUCCGUUGGCUCUUAAUAUUAUAGGUACUCAUUUGCGUAAUAAACGUAUAGAUCGUUGGCAAGAUAUAUUGGAUGGUUACGUUUCUUACCAUGGAGAACCUUAUACAAUUAUUGAAAAAAUACUUCGAAAAACUUAUAAUGCAUGGGAUUUUGGCCUGCAACAAGUUUUCCUAGACAUUGCAUGUUUCUUUAAGGGUGAAGAUAAAGACUACGUGUUACAAAUAUUGAGAAGUUCGACGCUCAAUGUACGUGAAGAUUGUAUUGAAGUACUCGUUGAGAAAGCCAUUAUAACUAUUGAACAUGAUCGGAUUUUGAUGCAUGACUUGCUACAAAAAAUGGGUAAGCAAAUAGUUUACGAAGAAUCUCCCACUGAACCAGGCAAGCGGAGCAGGCUGUGGUUUUAUGAAGAUGUGUACAAUGUUCUAACUGAAAACCAAGUAAGUAGAAUAUAUGUUCUUGCAUUUGAUUUGGCAUGAUAUUGAACAGAGAACACAAAAAUUUUAAAACAGGGGUUGUGUUAUGUUUGUUAAUUAAACGACAUGGUUUGUUAACAAUAUUUCAUUAUUUUUUUCCAUCUUAGGGAACAGAGAAAAUUAGACGUAUUGUGGUGGAGUCGCUCAAAUCAGAUGUGAAUGUGAUACCCUUGAAUCCAGAAAGCUUCUUGGGGAUGGUAAAACUUGAAAUUUUUAUAAACCGUAAUGCACAAUUUUCUGGACGCGUUGAUUAUUUGCCCAACAGUUUAAGGUGGAUUGACUUGGGUGAACCAUUCAUUAAACAUACGGUUGUGCUCAAUUUGUCAUCCAAUUUUCAUCCAAGAAAUCUUGUUUGUUUUGAUGUGCCACACUGUGGCAUAAGACAACUGAAGGAAUUUAAGGUACAUACUUUAAAUUAUUUUGAAUCAUAUUAUUAUUUAAACAUAUAUUUUAUCUCCCAAAGAAAUACUCAAGUGUUUUAUUAUAUUCUUUUUAAAGCAUGUGAACUUUUGUUUUGUUUUUGUUUUUGGUUUUAUAGGAUUUUGCAAAGCUUACACUGAUGAAUUUAAGUGGUUGCGAAUUUUUGGAAAAAAUUCCUGACUUAUCCGGAAGCACAAACAUAAGGAAGUUGGAUCUAAGUGGCUGCACAAGUUUGGUCGAGGUUGAUGAUUCAGUUGGAUUCCUCGAUAAACUUGAAGAAUUGAGUCUUAGUGGGUGCUCUAAGCUUACGAGGUUUGCAACAAGACUUGGAUUGAGAUCCCUUCAAGAGCUUGAUCUCGAAGGUUGCACAAGGCUGGAGAGAUUUCCAGAAAUAGAGAAGGACAAGAUGAAAUCUCUGACGUAUUUGAAUAUAGGAAAAAGUGGCAUAAGAGAAUUGCCUUCAUCAAUUGCGUAUCUUGUUGGGCUUACGUACUUGAAGGCACAUGGUUGUGAGUUGCAAAAUGUCCCCGAGUUAUCCGGAAGCAUAGAGUACUUGGAUCUUAGUGGGUGCUCUAAGCUUACGAGGUUUGCAACAAGACUUGGAUUGAGAUCCCUUAUAGAGCUUGAUCUUUCUGGUUGCACAAGUUUGGAGAGAUUUCCAGAAAUAGAGAAGGACAAGAUGAAAUCUCUGUCGUAUUUGGAGAUGGGAAAAACUGGCAUAACAGAAUUGCCUUCAUCAAUUGCGUAUCUUACUGGGCUUAUAGACUUGAAUGCAAAUGGUUGUGAGUUGCAAAAUGUCCCCGACUUAUCCGGAUGCCCAAACAUAGAGCACUGGGAUCUAAGUGACUGCACAAGUUUGGUCGAGGUUCAUGAUUCAGUUGGAUUCCUUGAUAAACUUCAAAAUUCUCUCCCUCUCGGAGGUUGCAGAAGGCUCGAGAGUUUCCCAGAAAUAGAGGGAAAGAAGGCUCGGAGGUUACAGCUGUCUCUUAAUCUUUCCGGAUGCAAAUUAUCAGAAAGUGAUUUCCUUGUGCCUCUUGAUUGCUGGUCCGAAUUAAGAGAACUUAAUCUGUCGAGAAACAAUUUUGUUAGCCUUCCGGAUUGUAUUAGCGAAGCUGUCAACUUGAAGACAUUUGACUUGAGGGAUUGCAAGACGCUUCGGGAAAUUCCAGUCCUUCCACCAAAACUAGAAUCGUUACAUCUGGAUGAUUGCACAUCAUUGGAGAAAAUUCCAAAACUGCCCCCGAGGCUUAGGCUUCUUGACCUGUCUAACUGCUCUAGACUAAGUGGUGAUGAGGUGGCAAAGUUGUUAGCGGCAAAGUUGGAAAACGAGUGGUUGAAUGAGGUUGGUCUCUCUUCUUCUUAAUUUAUGUUCAAAUGAAAAUUAAUUUUGUUGAUACUUGAAAGAGAGAUCAGAUCACAAAUGUUUGUUAUUUGUUAACUAUGUAUAUCUAUAAUUGCAGGAAAUUGGUCCGCGCUCUCAAUUGAACAUUAUUUACCCAGGAAAUGAAAUUCCAAAGUGGUUCAGCUAUACCUCUAACCAUCCCACAACCAUUCAACCUCCACUAAAACAUCCACGGGAUGUAUAUGACAGUGAAUUUCGUUUUGAAAUUCCUCUAAAAUUACAAGUGGGGGAGACGUUAACUGGAUUGUUGGCUGUAUCUUUUGUUCUUGAACCAUCGACUACCCCAAUGCUUUUUAUCAUCAUUUUAAGGAGCUAAAGGCAACUCAUGUGAUUGUUACGACAUUGAGUUUAUGGAAGAAGGAGAUGCAGGGAGAUAUUUGUCAAGUUGGAAUUCGUAUGUGCAAAGAGC